rnacentral:lncRNA from 1 species
AUCUCCCGCUCCGAGGCGAGCGCCUUAUCCAUUAGGCCACGCGAUCUCCAUGCAAACAAUUAGCCAUAGAUACUAAUAAAUUAUCAUAAACUUUCUUAAACUGAAAGAAAGAACAACACUGAUAUUACGUCUCUUACUGAAAGAAGAUUACAAGAACACUUUCUCCUCAAGAAAAAAAAAAAAAAAAAAAAAAUUAACAAUACAAGAACACUCGUAUUACCUAUCUUGUCAAGUUCGUAAAGGUGAUAUAAAUAGUUAAAUAAUAGGCCAUUGUAACAACUUUGAUGAUUGUUCAAGAGGAACUCCGAUUCAUCAUCUUGUAUCGGUAACAGAUUCGUUUCUUCUUGAUUAAUGCUCCAUUUUCGAUUGUUAACACAAUGUUUCCAGGCUCCUUGCAUGUGAAAGAGUUUCGGAUUGGACCCUCAUGCCCGCUGAUCUUCUUCCUCCUCUGUAUAAUAACGCUAUAUGAGCUGUCAUCCGUUGGGAUAAAUUCUUCCUUGUAGUUCACUUCCCAACCAGACACUAGUACUUCCCACAUUAAACUCACUCCUGCCUGCAGUUUCACAUACAAGAGUAACAAGAAAAUUAACUAACUUGCCUACGAUGUUCAUCUAGAAUUAGUUUAUUAUAGCUUCGAUGCUACCUUAAUUAGAGGACAUACCUGCAUUGGGAUACGGAUAAUUUCUGUUGAUGAUUGAUUGAGAAAGAUCUCUGAGAUAUCAUCUUCGGUUGAGAAAUCAGGAUCGUUUUCCUUUCUGAAGCCACCAUAAUGAACUGGUAGUUCCUCUAAAGCUAUGUACCUACAAUAAAGAAGCUUCAAAAUAAGUUCCAUAAUUUCUAAGAUACUAGUCGUUAUCACCAAUUGAUGACAUUGAAGGGAGAAACAUUACUGGAGCAAAACGUCGUUGACUUUAGCCGGCCGAGCAAAGAUGAACUUGCUAUUGGAUUUUGGGGUCAAAAAUGGUGAUAGGAAAGUGCUAGCACUGAAGGCAUAGUACCAAAAAGGAACAUUGAUGAAGAUCUACAUAGAGAAGUAAGUGUUUCAUCAAUGACUUGCAGUACAAGGUAAACUAAUCCAUGGAACCUCCAAUUCAUAGUCUAUAAAGUGAUCUGAAAUAAGCUGUUAACAGUAAAUAAAAAUUUUGUGAAUAGAAGAUGUAUGAAUGAAGAAAAUCUUACAUGUCUUGCAACGAAUUCAGGAUAAUUGUCCUGAUGAAGAGUAAGGAUUUGUUUCAAAGCAAUUCGAAGCUCCUUCUUAGAUGGACCAGGCAUAUCCUUGCAAUCAUUGACGAGGAAUAUUGAAGACACACCACCAGACUUGAAGUCGAGCUUCUGAAUUGCUCUUUCCAUUAGUUGAAUUCUAGACCUUAUAAACACGUUGCGCUUCUCUUCAGUCCCUAGUACCUUGUUGUAUAACUCUUCAUUCCCAAACAGUUUAAAAGAGCUAUAAUGAACUGGGUGUCCCUCACGACUGACACCAUCCAUGAUACUUAUGGAACCAAGAUCCUCAUCAAAGUUCUCAUCUAGUAUCGAAUCUAUGUUGUUGUCAUUCCUCCAUUUGAGCGUAUUCCUUAACAUCUCGAAAGCAUCAUUGACCUCAAAGUCCUUGGCCUUCAAAAAUUUCAAUAAUAUGACAUUAGUGGCAUUAUCUUCUUUACUAGGUAAUAAGGGUACUCCCCAAAUUGCAAUAUCUUUGUUGAUGUUGGAAUGAACUUUAGCCACAUCUUUGUUGUUCUCGUUUGAUUCUGCUUUUUUCUCAUCUUCCUCACCUUCUUGCUUAGCUUCAACGUCAUCUACUUCUUGAGAUGUUUCCUUCUCUUGCUUCAUUUCAUUCGCAGCUUGGUCCUUAUCUACCUUUAACAAAUGAUUUUCAUGUAUCGCCUUUUCAAUUUUUGAUCUCAACUCUGCCAAUGCUUUCUUCUCUUGCUCGUUUAAUUCUAAAAGAGAGUUUAUUUCUUCCCUUAAUGAUGAACAUUUAUCAACUUCACCAGAUUCAGAAACAUCUGCAUUUCCAACCUGAUCAUUUUCCUUCUCCUCUUUCAAACCCACCUCGUUUGUAGUUUCUUCUUUCAACUUAUUCUCCACCACUAUCUCUAUUGGUUCCGCUUUGAUCUUAUUCUUCUCCUUCUUAUGAACCACCUCUUCAAUUAUACCCCCUUUAUCCUUUAAUUCCUCUUCUAAUUUUUCUUCUGUUGCCAUAGAUGAACUUUUCUCAAGUUCUGUACAUUUGUAAGCAUAAGCUUUUUCAACCUCAUGUUUCUUAUUCUUUGUUUGGUCAACUUCCUUUCCUUUGUUCUCGACCACAUUCUCCCUUGGUGUUUCUUCAAUCUUCUUUGUCAUAUUCUUCACCACCCCUUCAACUACACCCUUAUCUUUCUGGGCUUCUUCUAGAUUUUCUUUUGUUGCCAUCGAUGGACGUUCCUCAACUUUUGUACGUUUGGAAUCAUCGACAUUUUCAACCCCAUCUUUCUUUUUCUCCGUUUUAUCAACUUCUUUUCCCUUGUUCUCUACCACGUUCUCCCUAGGUUCCGCUUCAUUCUUCUUCUUGUCAUCUUUCACCACCCCUUCAACUACACCCUUAUCAUUCUGGGCCUCGUUUUGAUUUUCUUUUGUUGCCAUAGAUGAAUUCUUCUCACUUUUGGUAUAAUCUUGUUUUCCCUUGUUAUCCACCACAAUCUCCCGUUGUUCCGCUCCAGUCUUAUUCUUCUCCUCUUUCACUACCUCAUUCUUUGAGGCAUCUUCUACCUUAACUUUUGUUGUCAUGGAUGAACUUUUCUCAUCUCUGAUAUAAUUGGAGGCAUCGGUCUUUUCGACCUCAUCCUUUUUCUUCUCUGUUUUAUCAGCUUCUGUUUUCUUGUUCUCUACCACAAUCUCUCUUGGUUUCGCUUCAAUCUUCUUGCCCUCCUCUUUCCCCGUCUCUUUAACUGCACCUGUAUGCUUUUGGGCCUCUUCUAACUUUUCUUUUGUUUCUAUGGAUGAUAUUUUCUCAACUUUUGUAUUCUUAGGAGCAUCAGCCUUUUCAAUCCCAUCUUUCUUCAUUUCUGUUUGAUCAGCUUGUUUUCCCUUAUUCUCUACCACCACAAUCUCCCUCGGUUGCGCUUCGAUUUUCUUGUUCUCGUCUUUUACCACUUCUUCAGCUGUAUCUCUUUUCUCCUGGGCUUGUUUUAGGUUUUCUUUUGUUGCCAUGGACAAACUUUCCUCAGCUUUUUUAUAUUUAGAAUCAUCGGCCUUCACAACCUCAUCUUUCUUCUUCUCUGUUUUAUUAGCUUCUUUUACCUUGUUCCCCUCCACAACCUCCCCUGGUUUCACCGCCUCAUCAAUUACACCUAUAUCCUUCUGGGCCUCUUGUAACUUUCCUUUUGUUGCAAUGGUUGCCUCAUCUUUCUUUUUCUCUGUUUCAUUGUCUUCUUUUCUCUUGUUCUCCACACCAAUCUCUUUUAUUUUAGCUUCAAUCUUCUUAUUGUCCUCUUCAACCAUUGAUGCUUCGGUUGUUACAGGGUCAUUGGUUUUUAUAAAAUCGUCAGCUUUCCCUACAUGGUUGACAUCCUUUAAUGCAUUAUCUUUGUCUUUGAUAUGUUCUUCACGAUCAGCUGCUUUAUCUUUCAGAGGAUCUUCUACAUGUUCUCCUGUUGCCAUAGCAUGAACAUUACCAGAAAAAAAAAAAAUAGUUCUAGGAAUUGAGGAAACAAAAUGUAUGGAGAUAAUUAAGGUAUUGAUCUAAGACGAUUGAAGCACAAUCGAAUAAGAUAAGCAGAGAUUUUCUUGCCAUCUUUUUCUCCCAUUUUCUUUUUUCUUCCUAUUUUUGGUGGUAGUUAAGCAGUUUUAAAUGAGAGUUUGAAAUUUCCUAGAUCUAAGUACAGUUCUCAUAUGAUUUGCCAAAGAUAUCAAAAUCUUAAAUCUUAUAUAGGUGACAAAAAUAGUGUUCAACCAUCAGCUCUUUUCCUUUCUCAUUUUCUUACAAACUCACCAUGCUGCAACUGAACCGUGUAAUUAACUAAUAUGCAAUCUCAGUAUUUUAUUGGAUUCACCCAUCCACAUGACAUUAUGAUCAUGUACGUAUAUAUACAAACGCAGUUAACAAAAUUGAAACUCAAAAAGUUAGUCUAAAUAUUUCAAAUACAGGAGGUGAAGACCAGAUGUCGAAGAAGAGGUUUCCUUAUUAUGAGCCCUUAAUAUGAUCAAUUUAAAAAUGAAAAGACCAGACGAAAGAAUUGAGGGUUUUCAGUCUUAAAUCUAUCUUUGCAUCUUUAAUCGGGUGACUUGCAUAUCAAUGGUGCAAGUGUAUCUUGAUGCGUGCAAUCCACUCUCAUUAAAAAAAAUUAAAUGAGGUUUUUAUAAUUAAUUUUUUAAAAAUUAUUAAAUCUUUUUCGUGUCUUAAUUGAAUAAAAAAUAGGUUACAAACAGUCAUAUAUGUCGGUAUAUAGCCAACAAGAUGGUGGAAAGACCGGAAACAAUAAAUGGUUUCUUAGGAUAUUAAGAGACAUGAAUUAAUUCUUCUUUUUUUUUGAAUGAAAACGCUAUUAAUUUUAUUGCAAAUAUAAAUAUAGGCUCAAUAGAGCUUGGUUACAUAACAUAGCUUGAUGGCAAGCUUUCUUAAACACAUCUAAUAAGUCUGUAUGGUGUGUUAUCAUAGUUUUUGAGAUAUGUACUAGCCUAAGGCCAGAGCGGUCAUUACAUACUAUUUCGCUGUCAUUUACAGAUAGAACAAGAAGCUAUGGUAGUACCCACAUGGGUAUAUAGAAAAGGGUUUGCUCAUUAAUCGUAUCAUGCUCCACUAACAGUGAAGAACUUGAAUCACAUUUCGGUACAACUCCAGACGAUUCAAUAAUACCAUUCAUGCCAAGAUAGACAUAUUUUGUUGAAUCAAAAUCUUUCGGAUCCCAAAUACGAAACCCUAAUAGUUUAGAGCUCAUCCAUUUGGCCACAAGAUAGCCCAAAUCCAGCUAUUGGGUCUUCCAUCAUAUCGUACUUUGGGCACCUAAAAUGAGUAGGGUGAUUUGGGCAUCCCUUCAGAAGCCAUCUACCUGCCUGACCAAUGCCCCGCUGUACAAGCUGAUUUUGGCACCGCAUCAACAAACCUCACCGCCUCGCACUUAGACUCUCUAUAAACUGAAUCGCCGUUCUUGACAAGCCCCGAUCCCCAAUCUAGUUUAUAUUCAAGAUCGAUCUAGAUUGAGAUCUCCUUCCAGAUCGUUGGUACAUGCCUCCUGUCAUCGAUCCACCAUGAAUAGUUAUCUUGUUUGUAACUUUGUAAGUUUCAAAAAGGAUUUAAUUAAGACUACAUGGUGAAUCAUUAUCUCUAUUAAUUAAGACAUUAAAAAAGAAAUUAAGACGGUUUAUAUACGUACUUCUCUUUAUUCAACUCAUAUUGAAUCAUUCUCAAAAAAAAAAAAAAACCCUCAUAUGAAAUAACCGACUUAAGUAUAAACCACAAGUAAAGGCGAAAGGAUAUAUCAAAAUCAAAAUUAAAGCUCACAAAGUUCAUAAUUUUAUUUUUCCAAAAAAAAGUUCGAUCAUAAUUUAGUUUUUUGUUUAAGUUUAACGAUGGGACACAUGACGAACAAAUCGCUGGCUAAGAUCAAUUUUUUCUCAUGUAAUCAUGUGAGCAUUUUUGCCAACAAAAAUUAACGUCUAUCAAAAUGUGAAUGGCAAAGGUCAUGCUGUAAGUUUAUUUUUGACACAAACCUUGGCUUUUUUACAUUUUACUAGUGUGGUGAACUGAAGUAGCCACCAAGACCAAGCUGAUCAUAGCGGUUAAUUAGUAAUUUUGAGAUAAAACCAAAACCUAGAUUUUUCCGCAGGUUGUUACUUAUUAACCGUCACAAACCAAACACUCCCCCAUUUUUCUCAACCCACAAACCCCUCUCUCUUCUCUCUCCAUCUCCCUCCCCGCAAGUCAUGCUAUACUAAUGCAGUUGCAAGUUAAUGAACCAAGUCCUAUUUAGGUCAUGCUCAUGUCUUUCUUUAACUACUCUUCUCACUACUCUUCGACAGUUAUUCUUAUAUCAGGUAACUCCUCUCUCUCUCUCNNNNNNNNNNNNNNNNNNNNNNNNNNNNNNNNNNNNNNNNNNNNNNNNNNNNNNNNNNNNNNNNNNNNNNNNNNNNNNNNNNNNNNNNNNNNNNNNNNNNNNNNNNNNNNNNNNNNNNNNNNNNNNNNNNNNNNNNNNNNNNNNNNNNNNNNUCUCUCUCUCUCUCUCUCUCUCUCUCUCUCUCUCUCUCUCUCUCUCUCUCUCUCUCUCUCUCUCUCUCUCUCUCUCUCUUUCUCUCUAACAUGGAUUUCUAGCUUAGUUUGUUACUUGCUCUUCAAGAAACUUGUUACUUCUUACCGCUUAAGCUCACAAAAGCUUCAUUUCUAACUUCGUUGUUUCAGGUUUCAAGUAAAAGUAAAUAUAUACCAUACAAUGGUCUUGAACUGGGAAGCAGUACCUGAGUUUUUCGACUCAGACAUGACUUGUAUCCAGCAGAAUCUAGAAGCAGAGCUAGUAGGAGACUUCCUUCAAUGUGUUAAUGCAGACUAUUCCAAUCCCCACAACUUUCUUGACCCAUGGUAUGACACUUGCAGUCUUGUCAACUUCGAAUACCCUGGCUUUGAUCAUCUGCAUCCACCUUCUUCUUUCAAACCUGACAUGUUUCCAGUACAAGAUUUUGAACCCUACGCUCUCCCGAAACGCCAAAAAUGCUCGAAAGAUUACCAGUACCCGGAUCUUACACCCGGUUUCUCUAGUGCUUUUGUUCCGAACCCAUGUCCUCGGCCCGAGUACUUCCCCGGGGCUUUUACUGCUCCGGCGCUCGACUUUCAGCAUGCGGAGGUUGUUGAUGGUAGUACCAGAAAACAUAUUGUUGAAAAUGUGGGGAAGAAAGUGGAAGAAAGAAGUGUAUCGCCGCAAAGUAUCGCGGCAAGAGAAAGGAGGAGGAAGAUCACGGAGAAGACUCAAGAGCUAGGGAAGCUUGUUCCUGGAGGAAGCAAGAUGAACACAGCUGAGAUGCUCACUGCUGCUUACAGCUACGUCAAGUUCUUGCAGGCUCAGAUGGGGAUUCUCCAGUUCAUGGGGUCCUUUCAGGUACUUUACUGAUCAGUUAUUGAAGUUCACAAAUUCAAUUUCUUGUAAUAUUUCCACUAAAGUAGUCAUCGAUAACUUUCACCAAGAUUAUAGGGGAGAUCAAUUGUGCUAAUUAACUUGAUCAUGUGAUUCAUGUCCCUGCCCGGGACAACGAGGAUAAGUAUUAGUGCCAAUCAAAGGUUUCUAUAUUACUGAUGUACAUGAAUUAGACCCCAAAAUCCAAAUGGGAGAUUUGAACUUGGUACUUUGUUUAGACGUUAAUUUUUGAAGAACAAAUUCCUAAUUUGUGCACACGAAAUCUGAGUCAAACGUACUGAUUGUUGUUGCUAACAACGUGUAGGAGGUGAAGGCAGCCACGGCCACUAAGGUACUUCAUGUUGCUGCGUCUCCUACUAUACAAGAGAAGCUAUAUAUGGGGCAGAAGUGCUUGGUCCCAAAGGAGUUUGUGGAGGUAUUAGCAAACUAUUUUGAUGCUCAAUCGAAACUUUCACUCUCCCACAAACUCAUUCAGCUGCUUGUAAUUUUUAUCUUCAGGAUUCUGUUUCAUUAUCAUUUUUAUCGAUGAUAACGUUUUUUUUUUUUGUGUGAAAUACAUGCAGUUUAAUUUCUUUUUUACAUUCAGUCUUGAUAUUCUACAUCACUCGCCGACUGUUAGCUUGAAGAAUAUACUCAUCAGCCAUACAAAAUUUUGAAAACGUAGCAAAGAACAGAAGAUAAAGUAUUCAGCUUCUUUUUUUUGACUAAAAGUAUUUAGCUUUCAUGAAUAUUCAUCAAGGACAGUCGAGCAACUGAAAGGUACAAACUUCAGCAGGAUGAUGCUGUGAACUACUGAAAUCUUUACCAUCACAUCAGACGUUUUUUCUCUGAUUAUUUCUUCAUGAUCAACAGUACAACUUAAACGGUAACCUCUUCAUGCUGUUGCAUAGAUUUAUUAUUCGCAUAAAAUCAUUGUUACAGAUGACACAGAAGAGGACUAGAGCUGGACAUUUUAACAAUGAAAACACAUAAAUACUACUUUUAACAGGAUGUUUAACUGAGAUACAAGCUCUUUCGUCGUAAUCAGUGUACCAGACCAGGCAAUCAGAGAUUCAGAGCCUUAACUAGGCCUACCAAUUUCUGCUCAUUAUACCAACAAGCUUCGAGAAACACUAUCACGAAGAAGUGGAAGUGUCGACAGGUGUGUCGGGAUGUGCUCCCCACUCGGUCCAAGACCCAUCAUAGACUGCCACAUCAGACUUACCAAGUUUAUGAAGACCCUGGAAGAGAAACACAAAUUAAAUGGGGAAUACAAUAUUUCCGUGUUUCUAUAUUCUUACUUAAUAAAUGACAUAAUUACAAAUGAAAUUUCGUGAGAUCUAGCAUCAUAGUCGUAUUUACUAUCUCGUCACUAUCACCUUGCACUAACAUUCAAACAGAUGUAUAUCUGUCUAUAAUUAUAUGAGUAUAUUUCUGAGAGAUAUUUACCAAUGCGAGAAUGCAAGCAGUUACACCCGUGCCACACGAAGUAACAAUAGGGCUAUCCAAUGUGAUGCCUGCAAACACGUCAAAUUUAUGUUGAAGAUGCCUUGUGAGUUGUAACCAAUUAAAAAUAGUAUACAAGUUCUGGACUGUAUGCGAAAACAAUGAGACAGCAACAGAAAAUCAGUUGCCCACCAGGGGGAGGGUGUUAGUGUUUUAGGAUUCAGAAUGAUAAAAGCAUCCCGCAAUUUGAAAUGAUGUUUGAAAUUUUUUUCAUUAAAAAUGAUGUUUAAGUGUAAGUGUGUAACAUGUUCUGGACUGGAAGCGAACGUUCAGAACCAAAUGCAAAGAAAUUCCCAUUGUAAUGAAAAGAAAACCCAUUCACUACUAAGCACCAUGAACACAAUCGCUCCUAGAAUGAAGUAGAUAAAACAUCAAAGAGUUGGAUGGAUAAACUUCAACCACAAUUACAAGGACACAAGAGUUCUUACCUGCUUCAUCAAAUUUCUUUUUCAACUGGUCUGCUGGUAAGACUGUCCCUGAAGCAUCCAACAACUGUAUAGAAACAACACGAGUUAACCCCUAAUGGUGCAUAGCAUUUAUACAGACGUCACAUUUUUUGUUGCCAUUUCAUAAAGAUCAAGAACUAGACUUUUAGUAAAAAGCAGAUGGAAAAUUGGGCAUCACAUACAAAGAAUGAUUUCAAACAAAAUGAAGCAUUAGACAACCCCCCUUACCAUGAAGAAUGGUUAUAUAACUGAUACCUAUACUUGACUCAAAUUUCGAAAAGUCAGUUUAUCAUAUGAUAUCACAUGACCAGGAUCAAGCUCUGGAAAGACCUCACAGUUGACUACUAGAAAUCAAAAUUUUCAGGAAAUGUUCUCAUUCCUAAGAAAAUGCUCAGCUUUAACAAAAUAUAAGAAAUAAAUAAGGAACCGCGUUUUGAAAUUGUUUUUUUUUUUUUUCGUAAAUACUCGGAUAUGAAGCUUAAGAAUAAAAUCUAGUUAAAAUGCAAAACGUGCAAAACAACCCCCCAUGGCCCCAACUAAUGUUUUUCCUACUACUCAAAAAAAAAAAAACUGAUGUUUUCCUUAAGGUUAAUGGACAGAGGAUCCAAGACAACCAUUAGUAAAACCAUUAACUUCCUGCAUCAAUAUUAUCCUCAAACACUCACUGAAAUACUACAAAGCUUAGGGACGCAUCAUUUGGUUUCAUUAGAGGAGACUAAAGUCACUAAACACAACCAUAAGAUUGUUUUACCUGGGGAAAAGGAAUGCACUUGCUUCCAGGUACAUGACCACUUCUUAUACCUUUCCGAGGUUCCAAAGCAGUUCCAUCGAACCUACAAGAACAAACCUCCACCGAAUUCAUAUUUCUUAACACGAAAAUCAGACUUUCUGGAUAUACAGUCUCUAGUAACAGAUUUACAGCUAAACGAAUUCUCUCCGGUUACACAUACAGUUAUAACACCUCACUUGAGAUUUGAUAAUUCCAGACCAAUUCUCUGAUGCGUGAACAAGUCCACGCAUGUAUAAGUGCAACUCUUGAUUCAUGAUUCACACUUUAUGGAGAAAAUCAAUACUCAAAACUACUCAAGCUUCAAAGGUAUUAACCACAAACAGUUGUAUGUUGAAGACUGACUCAACAAAUUGAUCCCAAAAAGAAUGUGUACAUGCAAUUGAUUAGUAAAAAGAAUACCUGGCCUUUGAACGUGCAUCUAUAUGUUGGUGAGUUCUUUCCUCAAUAUUCUUUCUAACCUGGAAAAAUUAUUAAAAAAAUAUAAAGCAGGGAUUUAGACAAAAAAUUACAAAACACAAGUUGUAGAACAAGGAGUAACUUUAAGGGGCUGGUUACCACUGACAAGCUACCCCAGAGUCCCAGACUUUAGAUAACGGAGCAGCUAGUCAAUGAAAUUUUAAUGGAUUCAACAACUGUAGCAGUCUUUAUCAUUCCAUAAGAUAUUAUACUCUAUGUCACGUGGAAAAUCCUACAAGCAACUUUGUGAUUUUAACAAACUUUUGGCAUCCUGCAGUUUUUCCAAUACCGUCAUAUUCACUUUUGCAAAAUACCGGAACCUUGUUUUUGUUUUUGAAAUAAUAAACAACAAGUACCAUAAAAGUAGCAUGGACUGAUACAAGGGUGGAUGUGGGACAUGCAGCGUCAAGAGAGAACAAACCUGCUCAAGAUUCCAUACAAGAUGUGGCUGAAACUUAGUCUGAAAUGUGGUUGGACCAACCUGCAGAACAAAAUUGCAUGUCUGAGAUCAGCAAACAUGACUUUAUAAGUCUGAAUUUAAAAGUAAUGCAAGUUAAAUAGCAAAACAAAGAACAGGUAGACUCAAUUUAGUCGAGAUAAGUAUCUCAUAUGUUUCUGUCAAAAAAAAUGUUAAAAAAUUCAAAAGAAGCAAUGGACUGGCCCCCGAAACCCUAAAAGGACAAAAUAAAGUUUUCAACUCUGACCAAUCAACAUUCCAGACAGUAGCAUUAAACAAUCAGAAUUGCACAAAGCUACGAAUUUCUACAUUUCAAGAGACCAUGUUGAUGCUGGAAGAUACAACAUACAUGGCAUUAUUACAAAAUAAAGAAAAGAAAGCUACCCAAGCAUUUCCAAAAGUAAUUCAGAGACAACAAGAACAUUUAGACAAAUAGUAGGCUGAACUAUGACACCCUGGCAGGUGUACUUGAAAGACAACGUCAAAAGUUAGGUGUCCUGAUGUGAACUUACUGGCUGUCCCUUGUAUACUUUCUCUAUUGCCUCACUGGCAGCACUAGCUUUCAAAAUCGCAUCACCAGAAGCACUAGAUUCAACGUCAUAUCCAGAUGCACGCCACCUUGGCAAGCCGCCAUCUAAAACCCAGACUCUGUCAUGGCCAAACACUCGGAACAUCCUUUCAUAUUACAAUGAAUUGAAGCAUUAGUUGAUGACACAUUGUUAAACGUGGGAAACAAAUUGUUUUAGUAGCAUUUCAGAUGAGUUACAUUACUUACCACCACACACGAGCUGCACUAAAGAGCCCUUUCCCAUCAUAUACAACUAGAUCGUCUUUGUUCUCGAUGCCAAGAGCAGAAACAGCAGCAGCAAAGGCUUCCUCAGAUGGUAACAUAUGUGGUAACUGAAAAAGAACAUCAAUUCUAGAUCAUGAAGAGAUAGCAAAAGGAGACUGCAAGAUAUAUAUAGCAAAGUAACAUAUGCCUGCAGAUGAUGGCACACAUAGACCUAGGACUUCCUAAGUCAAGAAUUAUUUACCAGAUUAACAUUAAUCAGACUCAAAUUUGUAAUGGAGAUCUAAAAAAGACUAUUAUUACAUGAAAUGUAUAAUUUACUGAUAACAAGAUUAGGAUUACAUAGUUCAUAAAUACACUUUACUGGAAAAUAUAAGAAUAUUGUAACCAUCGGAGGUUCUAAAGUUUUCUGGAAAUUAGGAUGAAUGUAGCAUAAUAGAGUAACCUCUUAAUCAUCUAAUCGACAAGAGGAACCUUGGGUUACUAAUUGUAUACAUUCACAAGUGACCCAAUAAACAAAUAUGAAAUCGAACAUGUCAGAUGGAAUAAUGACAAAAAGAGAAACCAUCUCACCUUUGUUAUGCGAUCUGAUAUUCCAUCUACGUCAAAGAAAAGGGCACCAGGAAUAUGAGCAACCUAUUAUGAGAAAGAAUUAGGGUCUACUCAUUAUAAAAUGAAAAAAUAAGAAGAAACUAAGGAGUAUUACUAAUAACUUAAUAAGUAACAAUAACAGCAUUUGCGACGAAUAAGGAAAACGGAAAUUUAAAAAUAUCACUAGGGAAAACAAAAGGUGAAGUGGACACCUGAUAUUCUUGAAUUGGAUUCCUUUGCUCAUCAGGCAUGUACCAAGAUGCAUCCACAACCUAAAUCAGACAAUUAACUAAUGAUUACCAACAUUUAAACGAGAUCGAGAAAAAACUAAACAAACUAUAGAAGAUGUAGUAACACUGAGCACCGGGCAUUAAAUGCUAAUAUCUACAAAUAUUUCCAGGCUGCACUGGAGAGGGAAAAAUGGAGGUUGAUGAAAGGGAGAAGUACUGGCAAACCAACGCAGGUUACCUUAAGGUCAGGCUCCUUGAGAUUAGCAUGGAGCCAGUCAACAGAAACAACUGGCUCAUUUGUAGAUGCCGACUGUGUUGAGAAAUCUGCUUUUACCCCAGCUACUGUCGAAGCCAUAACACGAGGUACUAAACCAGAUAUUCGAUAUUUUGUAAAGGUAGAGUCAGCUCGCAAGAGAUCAGAUCCUUUCUGCAUGGGCGGAAAGGAAAAAACACAGAAACAGUUGAUUAGCUUUUGCCACAAAAUAAGGUAUACCCAAUGAAAGGCUUGAACUCACUAAGCUCAUUAUUAAGUUGAUUACUUCACCAAAAAGGGUAUCAAAUGCAUAAUCAGAUAGGGGUAAACAAAGGGUCCAAAAUUAAAACUUAACCUCUUUAAGUUUGGAGGAUGCCUUUAAAAAAAAAGGUGUGGGGGAUGCCUUUCCACACAAAAAAAAAGUGUGGAGGAUGAGCAAUCCAGGAUAAGUAGUGAUUAUCACAACUCCAAAUUUUUAAAUGCAACCAUUGAGCACAAGAAAUACAGGAUGGUCGACGAUAAUCAAGUAAACAAGACAGAGACAACCACACAACCAAUCUCCUAUCAUUAUAUGAUUCUCAAAUACACAGCAUAGAACUAUGUGGUUGCAUAGUUAAGCUACUUUAAAUCACAACAAUAACCCCACAAGAAUCUAGGAUGCAAACAAGAAAGUAUGUUUAGGGGUCAGUGAACAUAGUCAGGAACUGAGUACAUGUACAGAACAAUCACACUAAACACCUACACAAUAGUACACUACAUGCUACAAUUCACUAACUGAUUAAAACAAUGAGAACCCAUGUUAGUGAACCACUACAAAACGCUCCAAACCAAACACUUUGCAUCUCAAAUUCACUGAUACUAAAACCCAGAUAAGAACACUGAUCAAACCAGCAAAAGAUCAAAUCUUUACACAGAUGGUAUCACAACAUCAUCAAAAGCAACAAACUGUACAAACAGAAUUGAAGAUUAAGCAAACCCAAUAAAAGAUUAAUCAGAAAAAGAGAGAGAUUUACAUUGAGCAGGGAAGUGAGGAUUUGGGGCUUUUGAGAUAGGGGGCGUGCAGAAGAGUGAAAAAGGCGAUGACCCAAGAGAGUCCGUGCAAAAAGAGCUGAAGCCAUUCACUCAGAAGACCAUAGAAUUUAAGGGUUUUGGCUUUUCAGGAUCAGAGUGAGAGUGAAAAAGCCAAGAGGGAUUAUCCUGCGUCGACUUUCUGUCGUGUUGGGUUUUGGAGUUUAGUUGGGGUUUUAUCUCCAGCUUACGAGAUGGAGACAAAACCUUACUUUAGUUUUACCUCGGAAAUUUUAACGCUCUGUUUGGACGAGAUUACCUUUGAAUCAACAGUUAUUUUUAUUUUUAUCUGAGUGAGGUAGAAAACCAUUUCCCAUACUGCCAUAUCCAAUCUUGCUAAACUAAUAAUGCGUGCGCAGUUACUCUUACACCUCGUUUGUUUCACAGAAAAUAAGCAUCAGAAAAUAAAUAAAUAAAUUGUUUGUUUAUGUGUUUAGGGAAAGAGAAGGAAACGAAACAUUUUCCUAAUUGAAAGAAAAAUAUGGGGGAAAGUGGUUUCAUCCAAAACUCAAAUGGACCACUUUCUUUCUCUACAUUUAUUACUCACAACAACAAUAUUUUCUUAAUUAUCAACUUUUUAAUAACUUUUUCGAUGAUUUUUCUUGUGUUACCAAACAUCGGAAUGAAAAGUUCUUAUAAAUUUUCAUUCUCGUUCACUUUCUCAUGGGAAAGAGGAAUCGAAUGAAUUACUUUCCUUUCUGUGAACCAAACGAGACCACUUUAGAUUUCUUAAAAUCUCCUGAUCACCAUUUGUGUUCCAUGCUAGACCAACCUAUACCUUACCACAUCAUGUGGUUAAUUAAAGAUUGGACGAUAUUAGUUCCAGGUUAAUUUGGAGAAUCAAUCGCCCAUCAAAAAGGCCAACACCCCUUUUUAUUAUGAUUAUGUAAGAAGAUAACUACUACAAGGUAGUCUAGUAGCUCUUGUCUAAUUGGAUGUGCUUCUCCCCAACCUAGAUGUGAACCAUGAAAAAGAUUGUAAUGUUCUGUCGGCUAAUUGGGCACCCAGUAAAUUUGUCUUUAGAUUUAGGAAGUGUUGGGAUACCGCAAUUUAUUAUUAUUUUUUUUUCUUCUUUUAAGUUUAUGUAAGAAGAUGGUCGAUUAUAUAUACCUGGGUCUCCAAGUUUCUAGCAGAGUACACAAGAGCAAUGGGAAGCGCAAUUUAAGACAUUAGACAUAACCGGAAGGUUCACAACCACGAUGAUGAAGAUCAUUAGAUCAAAAUCAAGACAGUCUAUUCUAUUCUACCGACAAACAAGAUAAACUCACAAUAGUUUCACAAAGUCAUCCUCGAUCUCAUAAUUGGAAAAGAAAAUGUAGUCAACUUUUAGCAUAUGAACAUGAAUUACAUGAUCAGAAUGCAUGUAAGGUAGAGUUGAUCAGAAAAGAAAUUACAAAUUGAUACACAUAUGCCCAUUGCGGCACCCCUUAAUAUAUCACAUAAUGCUACACAAAGUUGCAACAUUCACUGCCGUAUCCAAUGCUUUCAUCGUUUGGCGCAUUCUGGUCUGCAAAACAUAUAUAUAUAUAUGGAUGGAAUAAGAACUUCAUCAUAUAUCCACAUACACAUAAUUUUCAUUUUUUUAACAAAAUGUUUGAAGGAAGUUGGAUUAAUAAUGAAGAAGAAGAAGAUUUAAGAAGUUAGGAAAAUAACAUACCCGUCCUGGUCCACCUCCAGGUGAAUCUAUGGCCUGCAUAUCAUGCACUUUGUCAAUAUUACUGAAGUUGUGCAAAGUAGCCUUAACAAGUUUUUACAAUUUACUCAAUAAAAUACAGAAACAGAAACAAACAUAACCAUAUAAAUGCAAUUUCAUAGCUCCAAAAUCAUUUAGACACAAAUAUUGUCCAAGUUCUCUUUCUAUUUUAGGUUUUGACUUGUCUAAAAUGAUUGUCAUUGGUCGUAACUCGUUACUUAAUUGCCUAAAAUAUCACCGGGAAAAUAUAAGACAGGUUUGGACCAAAAUGAUCGAUGACUACAGCAAAUGAUGAAUUAGAACCAUACCAGAUUUGAAGAACCAUAUCCUCCUCUCUUUGAUCUGAGCAACAUAUGGUUAUCCAUAAAAUAAGCGUGAUGGUGAUCACUCUGCCGGUUAUACCUUUGCCUUUCCGGCUUGGACUCGUAGCAUCCGGGACAAAGAUCGUAAGUGUUUGAGUUCACGUUGUCAAAGCACUCAACACAAGUGAAGUAGAGCCCCGUGAGACAAAUCCCACAAACGCUGCACCAGAAGCUCCUGGUCUUGAUGAUGUAGUAAAAAGUUAGAACUUCCAUGAAAUCCAGCGCGCCGUCGUGGUUGCGGUCGAGAUCGUUGAAGAAGCUGGGGCUGAUCCAUUGGUUGCCGCUUUGGUAGAGAAAUGCGGAGAACUCGUUCCAGUCGACUUGGCCGUCGCAGUUUGUGUCCAUGGAUUGGAAGAAGCACCAAGCUAGUUGCUCAAUCUCGGGUGAUCCGUUGUUGUAAUAUGCAGAUGCUGCCUGACGCAGCUCGUCCAUUUCAGAGUUUACCUUGAAGCUGUAGCUAGAGCUUUCUUGGCAUGGAUCGAUAUAUAGAAUAUUGCAGUGUGUGUAUAAACUAUAAGGAAGUUGUUAAAUUGCUACAUGAAAUACAUAUAUAUAUAUAUAUAUAUAUAUAUAUAUAUAUAUUUUUGUUGCUACUUAUAAUAUAAAGGUCUUAUAUAGUUUUGCUGCGUUGACAUUAAUUACAUGUGCAAUCUCUUCAUUCUCAUAAAUCUAGGUCAAGGCUAGGGUGUAUAUAUACAUUUUUUGUGUAAGAAGAGGGUUUGGAAAUUUAGAAUAAUAUACGUAAUAACGAACUACGUUAAACACGAAAUCACGUAUACAUUUUCUUUUUAGUAUCUUAAACUAUGUAUAUUUUUUUUAAUAUGACUUAUAUCGUGUCUAUAAUGAUCAAUAACACUUUCAUGUAUCAUCCUAAGUCCCAUUAGCAAGCAAAUACUGGAUUUCAUAUUUGAUUUCACUUUCAAACGAUAAUUACAGAAGCGAUAGAAGUCAUAAAACUCUUCAGUUUAUUAUUGCUUAUUUCAUAUAUAGUUGGUGAUCAUUUUUUUUGUAUCAAUUAUUAAGCACAACUAGUUAGUACUUAGUAUUGCCUCGUUGAUUUGGUCAUUUUUUCAAUUCCCUGGAAAUUGCAUUAUGUUCACGUCAACUGUAAUGUACCAAACAAAAUACAAAAAUAUAAUGUACACUUGCUUGAAUACAUUCCUCAGACCACUCUGGCAACCAAACAGGGAUGCUAAGAGAGUUCAUGAAAUAUAUUUGACCGAGAAAAUGGGAAUCAUUCUUAACUGACCAACAAAAUAAUUAAGGGUAGUGCUCCUAACUCAAACAGAUAUCGAUUCUAGCUAUGAGAAUUUCUGAAGGUUGAAUAUGGGGAGAGUGUAGUUUGCUCGGAUUCACUGGACCAUCAUGAAGACGAUCUAUAUAUAUAUGCUAGCAAUUUAGUUUUGUGGUUGAUCUAAGUGUAGCAGAAUGGUCAUCUUUUUCAAAACCAUUCGACAUCAGUUUACUAUAGACUAAUUUAAACAGUUCCAUAUCCAUUGUUUUGUGUUUACUAUUAUUUCUAGUAAGGCAUAGAAUAAACCUCUUACAAACAUAUUAAAAGAUACAAAUAUAUAUAAAAUCAAGAAAUUAAGUCAAUAGCUACAUGCCUCCAACCUAACACGGAUAGUGGGAAUUCUUAAUCAUUACCAAUUAACUUGGCCUGAGUUGAACCCUAGCUAAUCCCUAGACAGAGCACCAGGAGCAUAAAUUAACCCCAGGCCCCCAGGGGCAACAGUGCUAGCUCUGAUUUGUAUUUGAUCCUUGAAAUACCCAUUGUAAUUUUACAGAAGCGAGAUAAAAGAGGAAGAGCCUUCAUCUUUUAGCUUAAACAAACAUAUAUUACAAACAUAUUUACCUAAAGGAUCAUGAUCUUCAUCUUUAUUCAAUUUUUCUAGUCUAACUUCUUUAUUCCCCUCUCUUCCUCUUCAACUUCUUCUAGCUAGCUUUUUAGUUAAACCUAGCGCAUCUGGUGAUGCAACUGCAACCUCGACGAUAUGUGUUAGCCUGCUGGUUGGCGGGUUGACCGCAGUUGUAGUACGUCACACCACUGCGGCGGCAUGGAAUGCCGUUCCUGUUGAGGGAACCGUCGCUGAUGUACUUGGGUCGUCCGGCCAGUGUGCGGCGGCUUGAAUCGGAGUCGAGCAUCAUCCCAUUGUCCUCUCCAAUGACGUCGCCCAAGCUGGCAUGGACGAGGGAUGAGUCGUGAUUGUAGCGGGCGAGGAGGCCCCAGCCAGCAUCAUAGAGCUUGGUGGCCUCGACCGCUAUGGCCACGGCCAAGAGGAGCGUGACCAGGCAGAGCUUAUUAUAUAUACGUCCGGGUGCAAAAGGGUACCGGUUCACAAACACAAAAGCGUUUGUGAAUUAACAGAUGACGGCCGUUUCUAGCUAACUUCUUCACCGCCCUUCCUGUUUGGGGAGGGAAAUAUUAUUCUGAAAAGAGGGGGCGGGGGGAGGGCUCUUAAAAAGAUCAAGCGCAACAUCGGGUGCCCGUUUAAGACUUGGAUGCUACAUUUUGCUACGUAUUGUGUUUCUAACUAUUAAGUCCUUCAUUAGAAUGGGUUGUUGUAACGUUAUGGUAGCUAGCAACAAUGCAUGUGUCACUUUAUUUGCCCACAUACAUGUCCUUGAAUGGAACUUAUUCUAUGCAUGGGUAGUGUACGUAGUGACUUUAACACCCAUGAAGUGAUCACAGCCUCUUGUUUCGAGUUUCGAAUUGUAAAUGAUGAUAUAGACAAAAACUUGAAGAUAUAUAUUAUAUAGAGAAAUUUUAUUCUAGCUAAUUUUUAGAUGCACAUCUCAUAUUUUUGUAAUUUUUUUUUAUUUCUAUAUUGCCCUUAGUUCAGACAAUAUACUAAUAUAAUCAUAACCUCCAGCAGUUCUAGAUCUCUCCUCAAUCGAUAUGGAUGGCCAUGUUCCACUGGAUUGUAAAUACCUGAGGUUAAUUGUUGGGGGGAGAGAGAGUUGCAGUAAGUUAAGAGGAUUUGAUCGAUUAGCUCCUUAGUAUAUGAAUUAUGAUAUGUAAUUCAAAACUUCAUAAAUAAUUUCUUUUAUAUCCACCAGACCUGGGUUUACAAAACUGAAGUUCAUCUACAAGACUUGACACUUGAAGUUUAAUUAUGGUCGACAUGAAUGUUAAGCUAUUCGAUAUGAAACCAAAAACUUGUACGUGUUGAUCAAUUGAAAUUUUGAAAGGAUGCAGGUGAGGGAUUCCCUAUCUAUUAUAAUUUUUCGCUUUCUAGAGAGUCAAAAGAGUAGAGAGAGGGUAAAAGAAGAAAGGAAGAAGAAAUAUCAGGAAAAAAAAUGACAAAAAAAGUUAGAGAAGUGUCUAUUAAGAAUAUAGUUAGGAAUAUGUUAAUAAAAUUUCUCUUAUAUGAAAAUUUUGUAUUUAUUUAUCGAAAAACGUUAAAAAGAAAAAACACAUAUAAUAUAUAUGCAGCAGAAGGGAGAGGUGAUUGACACAAUUGACUUUCCUUAAUUAUUAUCACCACCACUACUACAACUUACUGAUGUCCAUGACACAAAUCUGGAAGAAACUUUUCUUAUUCUUGUUCGAGUUUCUUUCAAUUAAUUGCUGCGAGCGCAACGGGUGGCGACGCUGCAACCACGGCGGUAAACAUUGGCUGCCUGUGAGUUCUGUCUGUUGCAGUUGUAGUAGGCGGCUCCGGGCUGGCCACACGGUACAUGGUUUCUCUUAAGGGCACCGUAGCUGAUAAAACGGGGCCUUCCAGCAAGUUGACGCCGGCCGACCUCGGAGUCCAGUAACAUCUCAUUGUCUUCUCCGAUCAAGUCACCCACGUCGUCGUGGUUGUGUCUGAGACCCCAGGCGGCGUCGUGGAUCGGUGAAGACUCUACUGCAGCCACCAUGGCUAAGGCCAAGAGGAGCACAACAAGGCAGGACUUGAAAUCCAUUUCCAGAUUUUUGGGGGGACAAACAGAAGUUUCUGAAUUUAAAGUGGAUUCCGCCAAUUGGUCUCUGCCCUUCCUUGAAGUUUGAGGGAGAGGGAACUGAGAUGAGACAACUGAGAUAUAUAAAGAAAAUAAGGUGACGGGUUAGGAAGAUCUUUGGACAAAUAAAGGACAUAUCUGAUUUUGGUGGCUGUGCUUUUCUUUGUGAUCUAAUUUUGCCCGUUUCUUUCUCCUUAAUUUUCUUUCUGUGUACGUUUUAUAUAGUAUGUCCCAUGCAAAUUUAGUUUAUUUGAUCUGUUAAUCAAACUCAUUACAAAUUUAUAAAUCAUACAAAUUAACAAAUAAUUACUCAUAUAACUAUACACGUUUAUAAACUAGAAUUUUUUUAUGCUAGUAACAUUGCACAUGUGGGUUUAUGCUAGUAACAUUGCACGAGUAGCUAGGGUUUCGUAUUAUCAAAGUAGGGUAUGGGUGAAUUUAAUUGAUCCAUACUGUUUUCUUGCCCGGUUUAGUUAGUCUAGCCUCUUAUCAAGAAAUAUUUCUCUUGAUAUAUACGUUUGAAGAUUUUCCUGUUUCGACCUACAUCUUGUAUAGAUUUAUUAUUUAGAUAAUGUCGAUUUAGUACAAUUUUUGGCACCUCACUUUCCAGUUUCCAUUGUAACAAUACUAAAGAGAAAAUUAGAUAAAAACCCAAAAUACUAGACCUCUUUUAAGAUAAACCCAUACAUAUUUUUAUUUCAUUUUACACCCACUCCACAUAAGCAAACUUACUAUAUAGAGCAUAUGUCUAUAAUUAAUAGUUUUUUCAUUUUUUUAGUUUCUCUGAUUUGCCCUUCAGACGAUAUAAAACUAAAUUUGGUAUCUUUCUCAAUUUUAGAAUCAAUUUGAAACUCAAAUAUUGAGCUAAAAUUUAGUUGGAUUUAACUUUAUCAUAAUCAAUUACAUUCUUUAAUUUCUUACCUUGUUAUUACUAACUUGAGUGUAUAUAUAUGUUAUAUAUAGAAGUAUGUCAUUUGUAAUAGAAUGAUUCUUUUCAUUAUUAAGCUCACAUUUGGUGUCUCUCUACAUAGUCGAAAAAUAUCUAAUUGUAAGGUACACGGUCUUGUUUUUUGAUUAAUUUUCUUCUUUUUAUGUAUAUUAUUAUAUUAUUUCUCAUCCUGAUCGAGAGAACAUUUACAUUUCUAAUAUACCUAUUAAGUAGGACAUGAUAUGAUAAUAUACCUAAAAAAAAGAAACCCAAAAUUGGGUUUAGGGUAUAGGGUUAAGGUAAUAGGGUUUAGGGUAUAGGGUUAAGGUAAUAGAGUUUAGGGUAUAGGGUUAGGGUAUAGGUUUAGAGUAUAGGGUAUAGGGUUUAGGGUAUAGGGUAUAGGGUUUAGGGUUUAGGGUUUAGGGUAUAGGGUUUAGGGUUUAAGGCUUAGGGCUUACGGUAACACUAUAAAAUUUCUUCAUUUUACUCUAAUAAUCAGAUAUCUUAUUUAUAUUAUAUUUUACCUUAUGUAUAUCAUAAAAUGUAUUCAUUUCACAUAAAUUUUUUCAUAAAAAUAAAGAAAAUCGCAUGAUUCUUGCAAAUUGAUUGAAAAAUGUUAGUGUUAAAAGAAAAACUCAUAAUCAAGGUAUUUAAGAAAACAUCAAUUAAGUUUAUUUAUUAUGUUUAUAUGUUAUAGUUGAAUGGUGGCAGUUGUGUAAAAUUUAGAAAAAAUAAGACAUGAUAUGUAUCAUAAUUGAUACAUUUUAGAUGUCUAUCAAAAAGAAUAUUAUAUGUGUUUUAUGUAAAAUUACUCUUCAAAAUUGGGUGUAUAUGAAAAUCCCCCGGUAUUUGAAUUAAGUACAUGGAUCUUGGUUAUAUAUCACGUAUAAAUUAUGCCCUAUUAUCCUUUUAAAAGCAAUGAUAUAUAAAUAUUACUCAUAUAUACCAGCUUGAACACUUUCAUUGACAUAUAUACAUAAAAUUGUUUAGUUACUUGCCAAAAUUAAAGACAGAAUUGUUUUGAUGUCUAACCCACCCAAAAUGGAUUAAUCGUCGACCAAUGAAUCGGAGAUGCUUGAACCUCAAACUCAAGUGGGAAUACUUAAUCUUUAUCAACUUAAAUAUUAGAUGGAAACGUUCCCCAAUUACGAACCUAACCAUGUCUUUAAACUAUAAGUAAGCGGCAUCGAGCUAGCUGUGGCAACACUAAUUUGAAUCCUUGCAUAUCGAUGGUAAAUUUGUAGGACUACUAAUCGCGAUGCAUGGUGGCGUAGUAGCUAGCUAGGGUUUGUUGAUCAGGUACUGCUUGAAUGCUAAUUAAUAUUGUUCGAAUGAUGUGAUAAGGAGCUGCAAUUUUUAUUACUGAAUCGGUCACAAUAUCAGAUGAGAAAUGGAAAAUACACAGAAAAUAGCUAGGAACCACAGGCAUCUCGAAACACAACUUAAUUAUGAUAACGCCACUAGCACCGUGGCUCGAUUAAUUCAUUCACAUAAUGGUACACGAAGCCAUCAAAUUUGCAACUCCAACUGCGGUUUCUAAUGCACGAAAUGUUGAACGCAAUCUGUUCUGCAAGACAUAAUGAACGAAAACUGUUAACAUUUUCUUUAACAAAUUAAGAAGAGCGAGGUGCCUGGAUUAUAUAGAUGCAUAUAUCAUAUAUUAUAUGGGGCUGUCUAACUGUCUUCAUCUGUAACAAGUAAAUACACAAGAGAAGAAAAGGCUGUACGUGAACAAUAUUAUACCUACCCUUGCAGGUGUAGCUGGAGGCUGCUGUCGUGCUGGAACUAUUGCCUGUGUACAUACAAUAUAUGAUUUGGCAUGGUUUGAUAAAUUAAAUCACACAAGUUAAGCAUAAGAGACAUAUAUAGCUUAUUUAAUCAUGCCAGAAAUCCGAGCUAAAGAAUAAUACAUAUCCCCUAAAUAUAAUAUCUCUCAGUGACUUACAUAACAAGUAUUUAGUGUCUGUAAUAGCUUGACAUGUUCCUGAUUUACAAUCCAUAUAUACUUCACUGUUUUUAUAUUACAUGGGAAAUGACUGCGGAAUCAAUAAAUGUCCGAAGAAACAAAAGGUCCAAACAGUCUCCAACCUAAUCUUGCUGAUGAUUAACUUGAAUCAAUAAGUAAUUCAAAAUUUGGCCCCUGCUAUAUUGAAAUUAAACUGUGUAGGAAAUCUUAUUAGGAAUCAAUGGCUUCACGUAAUUACCAGACCCCAAUUUUGCUGAUUAACUCAAUCUCGUUUGUUUUAAGUUACUGUUACGUACACUUGCAAUCCUUUAAGUUUGUUAAGAUUUGAGUUUCCACAUUUACUUUAACAUUUAUACAUACAGUACCAUAAACAAAUUUACACAAAAAAAAGGCAGAAGCGUAUAUACCCUGCUUGCAGAUGUAGGUGGAGCUUGAUAUGAAGUUUGUCGACCUAUUGCCUGCAUAACCAUUUAAUUUCAUUGAUAAAAUUAUACAAUUAAGUAGCGGCAUAAGAAAUCAUUGAAUAUCGAUCUAUUUUGUUGUAUUUAUGUUCCUUGUUUCUCUUCCAGUCUAGUUCCUUGUUUCAUUUACGCUCAUUUUGUAACUAAAAAGUAAAAGAAAGACGUGAGUUAAAAUUUUGGCAACCUCUAAAUGAAUUGAAUUUCUAUAAAGCGCAGCGUGCGAUUACCUGACUCAGGUUAUGAUUACCAAGAGCCUGUCGUCUCUUUGCUAUAAGCAGCAUAUGAUUAUCCAAGAAGAGUGUAUGGCGGUGACGGAACUGCUUUUCAGCAUAGCAGUUGGAGCACAGAUCAAAGGUAUCGUUGGCUCUGUCGAAGCACUCGACACACGUGAAGUACAACCCUAAGAGGCGUUCUCCACAGCCAACACAAGAAAAGAACCUGGUCUUGAUGAUGUAGUACAGUGUGAGAACUUCCCUGAAGUCUAGGUAACCAUCACCGUCUUCAUCGAGCACGUUGAACAUGUCAGGGUCAAUGUCGUAGCCGCUUUGCUGGAGAAACGAGAUGAACUCCGACCAGCUGACUCCACCGUCACCGUUGGUGUCCAAGGAUUGGAAGAAAUCCAAGGCUAGUGUCUGGAGAUUCUGUGACCCAUUAUUGUAGUAUGCUAUAGCAGCCUGGUUUAAUUCCUCCAUGGAAUAAAUUUCAAGGCCUUGGGCUAGCUAAGAUGAGAAAAAUCGUAUAUAUAUAUAGAGGUUUUUGUUCUCAUGUUAAUUAGGUCGAAGGUGUUAUUAUUCUACUGACAAUAAAAUAUAUAGAAAAUUUCAUAAAAGUCUACUUUUUAACAUUUGUUCCUUCAUAAGUCCACCUUAAUCUUUUUACCCAUAUAAGUCCACUUUAAGGGUCAGAUUCGUCAUCUUUCUUUCAUUUCAUACCUAAAAUACCCUCCCAAUCACUCCCUACAAAAAAAAACGGCNNNNNNNNNNNNNNNNNNNNCUCUCUCUCUCUCUCUCUCUCUCUCUCUCUCUCUCUCUCUCUCUCUCUCUCUCUCUCUCUCUCUCUCUCUCUCUCUCUCUCUCUCUCUCUCUCUCCGUUGAUAUCUCUCUCUCUCCGGCGUGAGGGCCUCCGGAAAUUGACUAGAGCCCUAAAUCCCUCACUGGAAAUCUAAGCCUUAGGGCCUCCGCUGCCUUAUACAGCCUCCACGUCGUAUCCUUCAUCCUCGGCACAUCGUCGCCGCUAAUAGCAACGCCGCCGCCUCCGUGUCCUCGAUCUCAUCGAAGUCUGGAGCCGACCCGAAUGUCGAUGAGCCGUAAUAGAUCGAUCUCAGAUCUUCAAUUCUGAACAACGAGACCUCUACCUCGUCCGAUCCUCCGAUCAUCUCAUCGUCAUCGCCGACAGUACCUUCUCCGAUCGGCCUCGGCACGUCGACUGUCAUCGUCGUCUUCGUCUGCGCAACUUCCUGUAUGAGUUCAAGAUGGUGACAACGAAGGUGAUUCGUCGGUGAGGUGUCCGGCGGACUGACAAGAACACCGGCCGAUCCAAGGGCUAUGGUUUUGUGAGUAUUUUGAUUCGUUUCUAUUCUAGUUCAAUCUUGAUCACGCAUCACUGACUGCUAAUUUAGUUGUGGAGUUUGAUGAAUCAAUAGACGUAUGAGUUUUUGAAUGGAGUGUUUUGUGUUUCUGUUGAGGAUUUUGGUGACUUUCAACGAGCUAAAGGCUGCUGCCAUGGCAUGUGCUGAUCUGAUGGCCGCCAGAAGACUUUAAGUUGGCUUCAGGUGGUGGUAAUAGUUUUUGUAGAUGGUAGUAGUAGCUUUUGUGGCUGGUGGUAAUAUUUUUUGUGUUUGUCACCUCACAAUAGUAGCUUUUGUAGGCGGUGGUAGUAGCUUUUAUGGCUGGUGGUAGUAGUUUUUGUGUUCGUCAGAAACCUCACAGUAGUAGCUUUUGUAGGCGAUGGUAGUAGCUUUUGUAGCUUGUGGUAGUAGCUUUUGUGGUUGGUGGUAGCAGUUUGUGGUAGUAGCUUUUGUGUUCAUUGGAAACCUCACAGUAGUAGCUUUUGUAGGUGGUGGUAGUAGCUUUUGUAGCUGGUGGUAGUAGCUUUUGUGGUUGGUAGUAGUAAUUUUUGUCAUCGUUGGAGGCCGGUCGAAAACCUCACCGGAGGUCAGCCGGAAACCUCACCGGAGGUCGGUCGGAGACUUUUCCGAGAUGAGAGUGGUUGUUGACUUUUUAUACUAGUGGCAUUCUUGUAAAUACAAGGGAGAGAAUCUAAUUUUUUUUGUUGGAUGACAGUCUGUAAUUUUGUUCAACUUCUAUACCUAAUAUAAAACCCUAUUUAGGCUUACGUGGACUUAUGUGAAUAAAAAUGUUUGGGUGGACUUAUAUGAAAUAAAAUGUCUAAAAGUAGACUUCUAUGUAAUUGGCCAUAAAAUAUAACAAAUAAGAACAAUUAUCGAGGGAUAUAUCUAUUUAGUAUAUAUAUAUAUAUAUAUACGCCCCUUCAUUCAUAUUCUAUGUAUUUGACAUUGGUUUAGUCAUUCUCUCAGUAUACUUUCUAUAUUCGCAGGGGCGGAACUACGUUUUGUCAUAAAGUGGUCCAGACCCCCCCUCAUCAUCUAUCUCAACAUAAAUCACUAUAUAAACCUCACACUAUUGUAGUAAUUUAGUGUUAAUUCAUUCAUGAAAUCCCCCCUAAUCAAUGACAAUGACAACUAAGGAACAUAAAAAAAGAGAGAUUAACAGCCAAUUACACCUAAUUUAUUAAAGGAAAUACGAAAAUGUUGCUUAAAUUUACAAGAUUUUGCAAUUAAUUAUAUUGAUGUAUAGCUUAUUCAAUUGUUUUAUUUUAUAAAAUUUGAUAAAGUAUGUUUGGCUUGUUACAUUCAACAUUAUUAUUUUUUAUACUAUCAUGUUCUAUAUCUCGGCCCCCCUAAGGUUCUAAUCCUGGCUCCGCCUCUGUAUAUUCAAAGAAAAAUUCCCCUCAUAUCACUGAAAUUCAUAAGAUAUACAAGUCCAUCAUGAUACGUACCUGUAAAAAAAAGUCCAACAUGUUUCACUUGGAGAAGAAAAUUAUAAAUCAUACAGAUCGAACGAUCAAAGAUUGUUGCACUCUGAACAAAUAUAUUAGCCAAUAAAUCAUAGCAAACAAUUUAUAUUACCUUAUCCAAAUAAUAACAUGAUCCGAAGAAUUUUGAUUGAAUUAGUAUAUAUAGGAUUUCGAUCAGCUUGGAGACCUCAUAACAUUAGUAUAUAUGUACUCCUACUUUCAGUGUUUAAUGAAUUGACGUCCUAUUAUACAAAAAAAAAAAACAUUAGUAUAUAUAGGAUUUCACAUAUCUUCUCAGGUAAAAUUCAUAUAACCUCAAAAUUAACUUGAUGUUAAUAGGAAAUCGACUUUUACAGUGAUCUUUUUUGGCAUUUCAUCAAGUUAUUGACAUACAAUUUCCUAUUUCCUAUUGUGAUUUCUUAACUCAGAAUCCUAUUUUACUCAUAUUUGAGAACAACAAAAACAAGUUCUAUUUGGACAUUAUUAUGUAUCUAAUAAUGCUUCAAGUAGGUCAUGUUGGAUUAAUUAUAUUUCUGUUACUGCCGCGUUCAUUGACUACUUCUACUUGGAUAAUUAAUCGCAUGUUGUUUAGAUAGAGUUGAAGUUUAAUUUUCUAAAUUUUAUAGUAGUCCUGUUGCUUUCAAGUUUACAACCCUAACUCUCAAACUUCUGGCUAUGAAAAUGCUCAAAUCCUCUUUGACCAACCUAGUGGAAUUCUUAAUCAUCACCAACUUGGCGGGAAUUCGAUUCUUAAUCUCGUAAUUCUAUUUUUGUUUCUUGAAAACGAUUAGUCCGUUAAUUAAUUCUGAUCUAGUCAGAGUUGAUGAAUUCAAUUAAGCCAGUAGUUAGCUAGCUGUGGCAAAUAGUGGUACCCUUGCACAGUUGCACUAUUGCCAUCUUUUCUUAAUUUUCAUUCGCCUCAACUAAUUGAGGAGUCCGUAUACGGAGAGCUUAUUUUUGGUAACAUGUAGUAUUAUUCCGAUCCAUUGCAACUUUCUAAGCCCUACGAAAGAAUGAUUUAUAUAUUCAUGUAGACUUAUUCGAGAUCUCUCACUUAUGCAACUAGACUAAAUGAUUGUAUGAUUUUUUUUUUUCUUUCAAUACUGAUAGUGCAUAUGCAUCUGGUACAAGAGUUGAUCAAAUCAUCAAAAUUUGUAUCAUUUUAGUUUGAUUGUGUGUGGACCUUGUCAGGGACGGAAGCACAGCAAGGGCUGUAUGGGCAACAGCCCAACCGAAAAUUGGGCUAAAAAACCCAUAGGUGUGUGUGUAUAUAUAUAUAUAUAUAUCACAGCCUAGCCCAGCCCAAUGAAAAAAAAAAAAAUUAUAUUCUUAUGGCCUUAUUCCCGAUUCCUCUCAUCAUCAGACAUCAGUCCCUUACUUUCUCCUUUGCCGAAAACUUCUCUCGACUCUCAUCCUGGCAUCCUGCUCAAUUGCUCAUCUCCUCCAUCUGUCUCAUCUUUCUCACCUUCAUACAGAUAGCAAGCAGAUUUUUCUCCUAAAUCCCUCACUUCCUCCGGUCCCACUCGUUACUCCUCCCUACUCAUCUCCUCCAUCUGUCGAUCGCAAGCAAUCAAUUCCAAACUUGGAUUUAAUUGCAUCUCUGGCUUGCUUCUUAUUUGUUACCCUGAUUGAUAAAUGACGAAUUCGAUUUAGGAGUCAAGACCAAGACGGCAAGACAUCGUCAGUUCCUCUAACUUCAAUUCGUAUUUGGGUGAUUGGGAUUUAGGAGAAAGUGAAACUUCAAAGUCCAACUCUACAACUACAAGGUAUGAACGAUUCCAUUUGUUCUAUUGAAAUUGAAAGUAAUUAGUUUUGCACUUCUGUUUUUGAUCAAUGACGAAUUUGAUUUAGGAUUCAAGAAUCAAGACCUCAAUGUCUUCAAAGCUUUGGAUCUUUGGUUGAUUGCCUCUAUUACAGCCUUCCUAGUGAGCAGUACUUGUAAGUUUUCACUCAUUGGAUCCUCGUGAUAAUUUUGUUGCAUUCAGAUUAGAAGAUGUUUGCAAUCUUGCUUUGAUGUUUUAUCCUGAGGAUUUUACAUCAUCUGAUUUGUCAACUCUAGAUAGGAGUGUGGGUUUUUUGUAGCAGAUAUUCUAGCUGAUCCAAGAUUUGUCAACACAUCUUCUGUGUCUGAUUUGUCUCUGCGGUUAGUUGAAUCAAGAAAGUCUGCAUUCUUUCCUAUGAUUUAUAGGUUGAUUUGUCUUGUGUUGACUCUACCAGUUUCUACAGCCACAACAUAGAGAGUUUUUUCAUCUAUGAACAUCAUAAAAAGUAGACUUCGAAAUAAGAUGGAAGAUGAUUUUCUUGAUGAUUUGAUGGUUCUCUACAUUGAAAAAGAGUUUGCUGAUAGUGUUGAUAAUGAUUCUGUGAUUCAGGAGUUUGAAGUUAGUGGAACCCGGAGUAAAACCCGGCGGGUACGAUUUAGAUAGUUAUAGGUUAUUGUUUGUUAUUUUCUUACAAUCAUUUUCGUUGUAGUUUUCAAUUUAUGAGGUUUUGGUUUUAUGUCCCCCUCAUAUGUUUUUAAUAUAAAGGCGUGAGGAUGAGCCUCCCACUAGGUUCCAAACCUCAAAAAAUAUUUUGUAAGUGUGUUGUGUGAAAAUUAGCCCAACCCACUUUUGAUUCCUGGUUCCGUCCCUGGACCUUACGGUAUAAUCAGUAAUCUGUUUCUGAAGAAGAAACUGAAUAUUGAUGAGAACCAGGCAUCACUUUAAAGUGGAUAAUUAAGUUGUGACUUGUAUCGUCACGCGGCUCCAGUUAGCUAGAGAUUUCUUCUUCAUUACGAGAAAUAAUGGACAUAAUUAAUUUCAUUAUGAGAAGUUAUAUAUGUAUUACAAGCUUUGUAAGUUUGAGUAAUUAUUCUCUGUACCCGGAACACCAUGUGGCACUGCCAUGUGUUGUACCCGGCCAAUCAUAUAACUCAGAUUCAUGUGGGGACCAGCACGGGGUGGAAAAAAAAGGAAAAAUAAUUAAAUACACCAAUCGGAAAUAAGGACAAAACACGUGGACUAAUGAGAUUAAAAUGGAACAUAAAACAGGUGGUGUUCCGGGUACAAAUAAUAAUUUCCCUGUAAGUUUAUAUGAUGAUAAUAAAGAAUAUAAAACAGUGAAACCCAAAAGGACGUACGUACCACGGUACCUGCAGGCUAGGAUAUAUAAUGGCUAACCAGCUAAUUAGUACAUCAAGUUGGGAAUGGCAAUGCAAAAACAAAACAAUCAAACAUAGAAGGGACAGGCAACAGAAGUAGCAGAGAAAACCAAAUUAAGAUGAAAGUGGUCUGCAUGCAGCUUGUUGAUGCCUAGGUAUGUAGCUUCGGGGGAGGAGUUGCUCAACAGCUCUAUAUAUCAUAGCUACUAAACAGAUCGAAAUAUGGGAUCGGCAUUUCUCUAAAAUUAGCACAGAUUAUUGAGAUGCUAGCCAACACUACUCAUUUUUGUCUGUGCUGGAUCAUGGGGAUAAUGAGGGAUGAGGAAAAAGACGAAUAGUAAGUCCUUUGGUGGGAACAAGAACAGGGUCCAUAAUCAUCUUCUCGUCUGGAAAAACCAUCUCCCAUUUAAAUCUAGUGACAACAUUAUGCAUGAAAACCAAUAUCUUGAAUCGAGCAUAUUCCUUUCCUGGACACAUUCGAGGUCCUCCUCCAAAAGGAACAUAUGAAUAAGGAGCUGGUCCUUGUCUUUGGAACCUUGACGGGUCGAACUUCUCAGGUUCCGGGAAGUAUUCCGGAUUUUUAUGUGUCGCAUACGUAUUCCAGUGUAACUGUAUACAACAUAUAUACAUAUACAUCAUUCAUUUUACAUGACCGAUCAACACGUUACGCCUGAACAGAAAAAAUAUUGUAUAUAUAUGAGCUUGUUUGCGAUCGAUUGAUCAAAACAAAAUACAACCAAAUAAUUGUUACGUAUAUGCAUGCUAGAUGAACUAUAUUUUUGGGUAUCACAUCUAUCAUAUUGUAUGUGAUAUCUGAUGCAAUACAAGGUCAACCCGAGAAUUUAUUAAAUAAUUAAAUUCAGUUUACUCUAUUAUGGUUUAGAGGUGAAUUCAUGUUAGUCCAUAAACUUUCAAUUUCAUCAUAUUACUCCCUGAGCUCUUGUUUUUCUUUUAAUUUAGCUUCUCAACCCCUAAAAAGUUAUCACACGUCAUCAAAUUUCAACGUCCCAAUUGGACGGAGCAUGAUUAAUAGGAGAUGACAGACAUAAAAACAAGAGGUCGGGGGGGGGGGGGUAGUAAUUUUAUGAAAUUGAAAGUUUAGGGACUAACAUGAAUUCACCUCUAAACCACAGUGGGGUAAAUUAAAUUUAAUUUUUUUAUUAAAUGUCAUGGCUAACUGUGUUACAUGAGCUGUCACAUAAUUGUUUGAUGCAUGUAAUAACUAAAAAUGUGGUAACACCUAGUUAGCAUUACCAGUGAGACACUGAUUGAAGAGGAUUGUGGUACGUAUACGUACCUUCAUUCCUUUUGGAAUUAUGUAUCCUUCGUAAGAAAAAUCUGUAAUGGCCUCUCUGAAAGUUCCCAGAAUUGGUGGCAACAAUCUCAAGGCCUCACACGCCACGCUCCAUGAAUAUUUCAUCUUCUGCAACUCCUCCCAGUUCAGCAACUCCCCUUCGGCUUUUGAUUCUGCAAUCUCCAUUUGCUCUAUGCAACCAAUUCUCAAUUCAUCAGUAACUAAUUAUAUAACCACAUAUAUAACGUACACAAGCAGUUUUAAAUCAGAAGUAGUUUUACACUUAUUAGGUACGUACCUUUAAGGACGGCAUCAUAAACAUGAGGGAGCUUCGAUAGGAACAUGAUAAUGGACACCAAGGUGGUGCUUAUAUUGUCGUAAGCUCCGACGAUUAGACCAUACAAUUUGUUGGCAAUGUCUGAUUCCGUCAUCAGCUCUUUCCCAUCGCUAUAUGUCUCCACGAGCAACCUAGACAACAGAUCUUGAUCAUGAUAAUGAUGAUGAUGAUUACUAUUACUAGUGUCCGAAAGAUGAGGAUGGAGAUCUAUCCUCCUCUGCUUAACCAUCUCCUCGAUUUCCUUCUUGAUUUGCUUGGAUGCUCUAAUGGCUCGGUUGAAUUUUGUGCCUGGAAAAUUUAUCGGCAGCGAAAUGAAGCCCGAAGAUAUAUGCCGAAUCAGCUCCUCUAGUUUGGCAACUAGCUUUGGAUCCUCAAUGUUCAGGAAGAGUUUACAUGCUAAAGUGAAGGUGUACUUCUUUGCUAAUGGAUGGACUUUGAUGAUCACACUCUCAUCCUCUUCUUUUACAUAAUCAACCGAGGAUGAACAUGACCAAUACAUGUUCAGAUGUUGUUUGGUGACCUCGUCCAUGGCCCCUAUAUACCUGUGGAGAGCAUCAGGCUUGAGAAAUGGAGACAAGACUUUGCGCAACCGAAUCGACUCCUGCGUGGUGUCUGUUUUCUCAGAGUUGGCAAAGAUCUUCUCAAAGUUUGCAGGCCACCAAGACUUGACGAGUUUGUUCUCGUUCGAAAACAGAAACUUGUUCCCCGCAGCAGUGCACAGCACGGCCAUAGAUUCCUGUAGCAAAGAGGUCUUGAAAACCUUGCAUGGUACUGAUGACGAGUGCUUGUUUCUCCUGUCUGCUAUGAACUUUUCAGGAACACCCUGUUUGGCUGUGCUUAGAUACUCUAAGGUUUCGCCGAUGAUCGGCCAACCGGUGCUUCCUGGUGGUAGCUGAAACCCUAGUUGUUCACUUUUGUUAACCCUGGGGAUAAGAUUGAAGUUCAACAACCUAAAGAGGUAGUAUAGAGAAACAAAGACGAUCACAACAAGGAUUAACCACUCCAAUUCCAUGCCCUCCCCUCUUCUCGUCUUUGUUUCUUGUGGGCUGCAGACUUACACACGAAAGGAUCAACAACCUACUGAAGUACUGAACAAAAGCAAUAUAAAUCAUGAAACGUACUGUCACACAAGCUCAGUAAGAGUUACACUAGAUAUCGGUACCGAUAUCUAGUAGAGUUUUUACUCGGACAGAUUACAUCUCAUGGACACGUCAUGAUGAAAAUGUCAUUAAAAAAGGUGAUGUGAAAGUGAAUCCAUCGCAUGGACAACUAAGAUAUUCGUCAACACUGCUAGUGAUGAAGACAAAGUCUAUCCCUGUAAACAGAGAAUAAACAGAGCAUUAAAAUAAGAAAUAGCUACUGAAGUACUGAACAAAAGCAAUAUCAAUCAUGAAACGUACUGUCAUACAAGCCCAGUACAAGUUACACCAUAUAUCAGUAUCGAUAUCUAGUAGAGUUUUAACUUCAGGACAGAUUAAUUACACUAGAUAUCAAUAUCGAUAUCUAGUGGAUCGAGUUUUAAUUUUUUGCACACGUCAUUAACAAAAGUGAUGUGAAAGUGAAUCCAUCGCAUGAACAACUAAGAUAUUCGUUAACAAUAUUAGUGAUGAAGACAAAGUCUAUCCCUGUAAAUAGAAAAUAAACAAAGCAUUAAAAAUAAGAAAUAGCUACUGAAGUACUAAACAAAAGUGAGAUUUAUUUCAUUAGAGACCAAAACCUCUAGGGUUCUAGGGUUUUGAGAGCAAGGCGACGGCGGCUCUUUUGAUACGCUCCCAGCCACAAGGGACGUCCUUUGGCGUCAUGAUCUAAGAGGAGAGGGACUAAGGCUCUUGGUUCUCUCUUCUGUGGUACCUGUCUUCUACUGUGGUGGGUGAGGGACGUGGAUCUGAAGAUUGACAACGGCGCUACUUGGCUUUGGUUCUCGUCGGUGACCUUUCACAGACGACCAUCUUUUUAGACGAGCCGGUAUCAAGCUUUUGCUGAUCGUUGGAGGCUACUUAAGGCAGCGCGAGUUCUGAAGGCCGAUGUCGAGUUUUGUUGGUGAAGCGGCUGUGGUAGAAGUAGAGACUAUAGGAGGCGGUUUUCGGUCCUACUCUUCAAUUGCAGGGGUUCUCAACCAUUUCUAGAAGGGAUGGCGAUGUCAGGAAGGCCGCCGGAUUGAAUAGACGGAGGCAGCAAUUCCGGCAGCAUAGCCUGAUCCGGUACAAUUGGGACCGACAAUGGAAGAGUAAACGUGGGAUGGGCUGUUAGCUUCAGCCCAUUGCAUUUUCUUCCUCUUUUGGGCUCUGUUGGGUUGUGAUAUAGGUUUUAAUGUUGGGACUGCGUGACAAGACCCCUACAUAUCCAAAUUGAAGAGUCUACCCUCCUUUUUGUUGGAAAGGUACACCGAAAUGGUCUCUAGGCCUCAAUGCAUUAAGCUGGGGUACUUUGAUUUGGUGUUGGUUACAUGCGUUCUAGGUCUUAAUAAGUUCAUUUUUGAACAUUAGUCUUUUUUGUAGUAUUUAUAGUUUUCUUUUGAAUUAUAGACAUGCAUAUGUGCAUGGAUAUGAGCAUCGAUUUGUAAAUGGAGUUUGUUUCUCGGACUCUUAGCUUGACCUAGUACGGUCGUAUGAUUGAAAUUAAAGGAGCUCAACUCCAUUUUCCCUAAAAAAAAGUACUAAAUAAAAGCAAUAUCAAUCAUGAAACGUACUGUCACACAAACCCAGUAAAUGUUACACUCCGGGACAGAUUACACUAGAUACCGGUACUUUCAGCACACGUCAUUAACAAAAGUGAUGUGAAAUUGAAUACAUCGCAUGGACAACUAAUUAAGAUUUCAUUAACACUACUAGUGAUGAAGACAAAGUCUAUCCCCGUAAAUAGAAAAUAAACAAAGCAUUAAAAAUAAGAAAUAAUUACUGAAGUACUGAACAAAAGCAAUAUCAAUCGUGAAACGUAUAGUCACACAAGUCCAGUACGGGUUACACUAGAUAUCGGUACCGAUAUCUAGAAGAAUGUUAUCAUAGAACACUUGCACAUCCGCAUAUGAAUGAAUUGAUCUGUAAAAUAAUGUGGACUUGCUAGCUAGCUCAAGUUGACAUAUGGACAAGUGAAUUGUCAAACCUAGAAAAUCUCCUUUGCUUCGAGGAAAAAAUGCACGAUACUAUCAUGCAAUGGGUAACUAGUAAACGUAAAAACACCAUGCAUGCCUUCAAGACAACUAAGUAUGCAAUUUCGUUGAAAUGAAACACCUUAUAAACCAAUUUUUACAAAGAAAUAAACCGUGACGCAAAUAAAUAAAAUUUUUAAACUGUAAGUGUAAACUAACAAUUCAUCAAAAGAACACAGCCAUUACAAGUUACUACUAUCCGUUGAUAACUGGAUAUUCAGUCACUACAUUCGGGACAUGUUUUCUUGUGAAUAGGCAAUAGUCCUGAUGAGCAAGCACAAAAUUGUGAGUUACAGUAAUCUUUUCAUCAACACAGACCACAACAAAAGAGCCUUUUGAGAUCCAAUAUAAGGGAGACUUUGCUUCUGGUCAUGAUUCAUCAUAAUCAAUACCUCAAGACUAGAAGUAUGAUGCUCACGUCAACUAAUGAAUCCGACUCUGAUUUUAUGGAAUUUUUUGUGGAAGUAAAGCUAAUAAUAACAAGAACAACUACUGAAUCAAAUGUUAAGGAUGAACUUCCAGCAUCAUGCAAAAAAAAAACAGUAAAGAGCGUUUUAAAGAAAAACUUAGGCAUCUGAGACUCAUCUCAAGAUCCAUUAAUGAUUGGAAUCACUUGUACGAUAUAACAUACACACACACUACCCAGAAUUAGGGUCAUUACCUGAGUGACAUACGAAUUGAGAUUUAUGAAGCCAGAUUGCUUGCAAAACAACAUCAUAUAGGUUAAAACAUUCAUAGCUAGAAAAACCCGAUAAACUAAUUUCCACUUAAAUGGCAGUUCUCAAUUAUUAUUGUUAUUUGUCUAUAGUGUUCUGUCUACUGCAGUGUUCAUCUGCCAACUAAACCAAGGUACUGCACCCAAAUAGGUAACAGUAACAGUUAUGACCCUAAACAAUCAGCAACAACGACGCCCUUUAGCAAAAAGAUUGUUAUUACCAAAAAAAUUGUAAUUCUAAUAAGUGGAAAACCAAAUCACAUGUAACUUGAACAUUGAGUAGAUGUAACUGAUUGUAUGUAACUUGAACAUUGUGUAAUGUAACUCAUAAAGAAUAAACUAAACCCCAAAAUAAAAGUAAGGCUUACAAAGAAUGACAAUCCCGCUUAAACAAAAUGCACAUGUAAAUCAAUGAUAUAGACAAGUAAAAUAACAAAACUAGACAUCUUUGAGGUCAAAAGAAGAAAACCUGAUAACCAAAAUUUAGUAAGGAAAUCCUUCAUUCGAUUUCUUCUUUGAGGCUUCUGCCAAUCGCUUCACACCCUUUGCUUUUGUAUAGUACUCCAUCAAUUGAUCAGCAACAUCCUUCGGGUGACAAUUAAUGAAUGCCUUCACAAAUCUCUUCUCUGUCAUUCUCAAUGCCGUCAGCAACUUAGGUCCUUUAAUUUGCUCAUCAAGACCCAUAUCCUCGAUUUUUCCUGCAAGACAUACUCGUGGCUUCAAAGCAGUCUCCAGAUUCAUGUACAGCAAAAACGGGUGCGCAAGAAUCACUGUAGCAGGAAGUUUCAUUUGUCCUAACACGAAAGUCAUGUUCCUCUGAACCUUAUCCACCGAAAGGAAAAACACUAAGGGAGACCUUCCCAUAAGGCUGAAGAUCUCAUCUUCUGAGAAACCAAACUUUUCAAAAUUUGAUAUUCUCUCACUGAUAGUUUCAAGGCGUGAAAUGCCAAUGAGUGUUACAACAUACUUAUACAUCCUGGACUUAUUCGAAAGUCCAGUUUUCUGUAUAUACUCCACCUUCUCAUCGUUAAAUACAGUUCUAGGGAUCAAUGUCGGCCUCGAUAGUAGCAUUGGGACCAACUCCUCUCGGCUUAGACCCAUUCCCUCAUAAAGAGCAAUGGUCGGCUUGACCUUAUUAUGGAAGUCAUAAAUCAAGAGAGACGGGUUCCUUACAAUGGCUUUGACAAGCAGUUCCCUAGACCCAAAUAUUUUCAUAAAGAACUUAUGCCGCUCAUCAAAGCAAUGAUCAAUGCGAAGACUCAAUAACCGGGGGCGACAGUCGAUGAUCUUCAAAAGAUCAGGCGCAGUGAUACCCAGUUCACUAAGAAGGUUUAGCUUGUACUGAAGCUGGUUAAGGUCAGCUUUCCUUAAAGCAGGCCGCCGCUUGAACAGCUGCGAUAUGUCAGCUUCACAACAACCCCAUUUCUCCAGAACUUCUGCAGAUGUCUUUGGCUGGUCAAAAGUGUCUUCAACUAUGCUUUCUUCCUGGGUGAGGCAAACUGUCGAAAAGGUGGUGUGCACGAAACUUAAACAGGAUGGGAGAGAAGAUUUGGGCAUAGGAGAGCGAUUGCACGACACAGGAAACACUAUGCAGAGCUUGAAUAGAGAACCAACUCUAGAUUUCAUAUCAACAAUCCUACAACUAUGGAAUUCAAUGAUACUGCAUUUUAUUCACUUGGGUUCUUGAAAUGUCCAAAAUGGAGAGGUGGGUAUUGAUUAUCAGUCAGUUUAUUGGUAAAGCAUAACUGGGAUAUUGUAAUGCAAUAAGGAACACUAUAAAGCAGUAAACUUGAUCUGAAAAACUGAAAAGCUCAAAACUUUAUUGCAUGCACAGAAAAAAUUGAUGAGCUUGAACUGAUGGAAUCUGAAAGAGAGAAGGAAAAGUGUAGUUCUGUAAUGUUUUACCAGCACCAUAGGCGCUAGUUGCUAUUCAGCAAUCAGCAUUGCCUCGUACUCCCACCUUCGAAAGAGUUUUAGCAGAAACGGAACCCUCACCCAGUCACCGAGGUUUUAGGGGUUUAGCCCUUUGGGCACAACUGAACUGAGACAAGUGUCUCUUUUUUAUUUUGGGUCAAACGCUUUCGGUAAAUUUGCUUUCUAUGGGAAAGAGUUACUUAAACCCGAACCCAAAAUCAAGUUAAGGCCUUCACCUAGUAAACUAAUGGAAUGAUUUGAAUGAUUGCAAUGUAACAAAAUCUUUUAGUUUGGUGCCUCAUGAGGAUCUUCCUAAUCCCUAAUAUAUGUUUGCAAGUUGUAUUUUCAAAGUGUAGUUACUUUUCUAUGGUUGUUUUAUGAUCUUAGCAUUCGCAAUCAGGCAAUUAGAAACAGAAGCAGCCUUAAACAAAUGGAAUCCCAAUCUUUUGGUAUUGAUCACUGUAAUGAGCUAAUUGUAGUACACAAGAACAAGAUAAAAUCAACUGUAUCCAGAUCGAAGUUGAAAUGUAAUAAAAGGGAUUAAAGAGAACGAUUAUAAGAAUGUGUGGAAAAAAUAAUGGUAGAGAGAGUACUGUGAUUGAAUUACUCUUGGAAGUUGAAGACCAGAUGGAAAGCAAUUCAGAAAGGAAAUCCAUAAGUCAUGUUCUUCUUCGAGGCUUCUGCCAAUCGCUUCACACCCUUCACAUUUUUGUAGUACUCCAUCAAUUCAUCAGCAACCUCUUUUGGUUGACGAUUAAUAAAAGCCUUCAGAAACCUUUUCUCUUUCAUCCUCAUUACGCUUACGAUCAUAGGACCUGUAAUUUGCUGUUUAAGUUCCAUUUCAUGCAUCUUGCCUGCAAGAAGUACUCGCGGCUUUAGCACAUUCUCCAGAUUCAAGUAUAACAAACUCGGGUGAUCAAGAACUGCUUUAGCAGAAAGCUUCAUAUGUGAUAAGAUGAAAGUCAUGUUCCUCUGAACCUUAUCGAUUGACAAUGUCAUAACUAAUGGAGACCUCCCAAAAAGUCCCAGAACCUCAUCUUCUGACAAACCAAACUUCUCAAAGUUUGCCAUCUUCUGACGGAUAGUUUCAAGGCGCGAAACCCCAAUGAGAGUGACUAUAUACUUAUACAUUGCGGAAUCACUUGACACCCUGGUCUUGCGGAUAAACUCCAUCUUCUCUUCAUUAAAUGAAGUUCUUGAAAUCAAUGUUGGCCGCGCUAGAAGCAUUUGGAUCAAGUCCUCCAUGCCAAGACCAAGUACUCUAUACAUCUCAACGGUGGGUUUGAUUUUCUUGUGAAGAUCAUACGUCAGGAUAGAAGGGUUCCUCAAAAUGGCUUUUAUAAGCAACUCCCUUGACCCAAACAAUUCAUCAAAGUAGUCAAGCUGCUCAGCAAAGCAGUCGAGUCGAGGAAUGAGAAACCGUGGCCGGUCACUGACUAUCUUCACCAGCUCAGGUGGGGUAAGUCCCAAGCCAGAUAGGAGUUUGAGUUUCGACUGAAGCUGGUCGAUGUCAGCUUUCUUUAGAGCAGAUGCCUUUGUGAAAAUCUUGGUUAUGUCAGCGUCGCUGCAGCCCAAUCUCUUCAGAACUUGCAGAGAGUCUUCGGGUUGGUUUGUAUCGUCUCCUACGGCACCUUCUAGUUGGGUCAGGCAAACCGUCGAAUAGUUGGUGGGCAUGAAGAUGGAGGACCUUGGUCGGAUCAGACAUUUGGGAAAAGGGAUUGAAUAUCGCGAAGCAGAUAAUACAUUUCGGAGCUUGAGUAAAGAUUGGAUUCUGGAUUUCAUGUCAAUGGGUGCUGUGAUUCAUUGAAGGAAGUAAGAAAAGGUUUGGGUUAGAGAGAAGGUUUGGGAAUGGAAGCUUUAGAUUUGGAAGAGAAUGUAUCUGAGAAUUUGGGUUAACAACUUCAUAAAGUUGUAAUCCUGAGGUCUGUACAUUUAGAUUUAGACCCUUAUUAAAGAAUAGGGUUUGAAUUGGGUUUUGUAGGAAUCAAAUUGAAGCGGGAAACAAAGAUCCAAGUUAUGAUCUUUACCACCAUUAUUGUUCAAUGUUCAUAUGCAACGGCUAUGGUAAAAAAAGAGAGGGUAAAACCGUCUUUUACUUUUGAGAAAGUAAAAAUAGUUUACUCCAUGAAAGUAGAAUAAUUUUCCUUAUAACAGAAGAAGGCUUCUUAAUGCUUCACCGUGGACACAUGCAUUUCUUCGAACCAUACUCCAUCGGGAAAAAACCCGAAGAAGUAUGUCUGGGUUUUAGCUAAAAGCCAUUUGUAAAAUAUCCUCAUUCAGUUACUCAUGCUUUGUAAAUAACAACCUCAACAAGCCCUGCGUUUUUCUUAAGGUACCUUGAGAUUUCUAUGAUACUUGUGUUAUAUGAAUGACCAUUAGUUUUCCAUUGUUGAAGCUUUCGUCUGUGACUCAAUCUCUACUCAUGUGAAUUAACAGGAAUCAUUACCCAAGUAUGGUGUCUCUUGGAACCACUGAGGGGUAAUGACCCUUGCAAAUUGCAAUGAUGAGGGUGUGGGUCAAAGUAGUCAUUGUUAAGUGUUAACUGUCAACUACCUAGACCUUGAAAUCUAAACUUGUUUUCUGUCUUCAACCUGAGUUGCUUUGCUUUCUGGGUUCUUACGUGUGAUCCUGAAAACUUCACAAAUCCUACUCAAGCUUUGGAAUCGGGCCAAUAAUUCAAGUCAUCAAUUAUUAGUCACGAGCCACAACAAAUUCCAUUCUUUAAUCAAUCCAAAACUUAAGGGGUUCUCAUCUAAUCUUCUGCAUGUGGAGUCGAUGAUACUCUGAAACCAGGGAAAGGAAACCAGCCAAACCGGCCACCAAACAAAAAAGAAACAGAGAGAUGAGUUCUCAUGAGGAUGAAAGAGCUCUUUUAGAAGAUACGCUUUUGCAGGUUCCAUCUCCUUCUUAAUCUUAGCUUUGCAUUAGAAAAGUGCAUGAAAUGAAUUUGUAUUUUGUUCCCUGAAGAGUUUGUGUCAUUCUUGGAUUGGAGGACCGCCGAUUGCUUGUUUUGUUUUCUCUCUAGCCUGUUUGCAACUGCUAGUGUAUCAUCUACAAUAUAAGAAACAAAAUAUUUGACUUUGAUUUGAUUGGUAGUGAGUGAAGAGGAAGAUUUGGGUUCUGUGUGCAUAGUUCUACCCUUCAGUUGAAUAUAUAGAAAGAAAUAAGGCUGAGGCUUAGAGCUGAUUCAAAAUAUGCCACUUCUGACCAUAUCAUGCUGGUUUGGUUAUGCUGGACUGGUAGUUGAGACUAGGACUCAACUUUCUGACUCUACUUAUAUUUCAUCCUCACUUAUCUUUACUUUUCUUUAUCGUUUAAAUAGAUUUUUUGUAUGCCUCUAUACAAGAAAUUAAUUCUUGUACUUCGUUUUCUGAAAAUAAUAAUGCUAAUUUUAUUUGAUUAAGAACUUUCAUUUUUAGUGUUAAAUUUUGAAGAGCUUGGAGCCUUUCAGCGGGAAAAGAGAAACCCUUUAAUAUUCCAAUGCUUGAAACAAUAUGAAUGCUUGAUUUUUGAUGCUAAACAUUUGUACAUGGACUGUGCUAAGGCGAACCGAGAACUGCAUCACUUUUCUCCUGCACAUUCGUAUCAUGUUUUGUCAAAUGAAUGUUUAUGUCGUUUCUUCAGAAUGAUGGCAGCGGACAGAACACUAAAGACGGUUCAGUUGACAGCAAGGGAAAGCCUGCCCUUAAAAAUAAAACUGGCCAGUGGAAAGCAUGCUCCUUUGUUCUUGGUGAUAUACUGUUUUCAACAUUGGCUAUUAUUUAUCUAAGUAAUGUGUUCUGUUCAUGACAGUUCAUAAAUUGAAAUACAAAUGCAGGUACCUUUUUCUGUGAAAGAUUGGCCUUCUAUGGGAUUUCUACCAAUCUUGUCAAUUAUCUUCUUGACACACUACAUGAAGGAACUGUCGAUGCUGCAACAGCUGUUACCAAUUGGAAAGGAACUUGCUAUCUUACACCUCUCAUUGGGGCCAUCAUAGCUGAUACUUAUUGGGGAAGAUAUUGGACAAUCGCCAGUUUCACUAUCGUCUACUUGAUUGUAAGUAUAAGCAGCAUAUCCAUACUUGCUCGUUUUAGCUAUCCAUUAGAACACCCCAAAACAGGAGAGAUAUUUUCAUUUCUAAUAGUUGAUCACAUUCUAUGCACUUUUACAUAUCUCCCUUAUGUAUCAAAUGGUUGCCAUUUCCUGCAGGGAAUGGGUACUUUGACUCUAUCGGCAUCAGUUCCUGCGCUUGAGCCUGCUGCAUGUGUCGAUUCUGUAUGCCCCAAAGCUACAACUGCACAAUAUGCUGUAUUCAUUGCUGGACUAUAUCUCAUUGCAUUAGGGACUGGAGGCAUCAAACCUUGUAUAUGGCCUUUUGGGGCGGAUCAGUUUGAUGAUUCCGAUCCCCAGGAAAGAGUGAAGAAGGGGUCCUAUUUCAACUGGUUCUACUUUUCUCAAAACAUCGGCGCUAUUAUAGCAAGCAGUUUACUGGUGUGGAUUCAGGACGAUGUUGGGUGGGGAAUUGGAUUUGGAAUCCCUACUGCGGUUAUGGGAGUUUGCAUUGCAAGUUUAUUUUUAGGUACUUCACUGUACCGAUUUCAGAAACCAGGCGGCAGUCCUCUUACAAGAAUAUGCCAGGUUUUGGUUGCAUCAUUCCAUAAAAGAAAUCUGAAGGUGACUGAUGAUAGCCUCCUUUAUGAAACACAAGACAUUAGCUCUGCCAUUGCGGGGAGUCGUAAACUGGAGCACAGCAAUGAGCUGAGGUAGUCUUCUUCUUCAUUGUCCAGGAUAGGGUAGCAUCAUUCCACUAAAUAUUGCACAAUAAAUUUAUGUUUUCAAUGCAUUGAUGCUAACGUACUAUGUCUUUGCUGCAGGUGCCUAGAUAAAGCUGCUUUGGUGUCAGAUGCUGAGAUUGAAUGUGGGGACUUCUCAAAUCCAUGGAGGCUUUGUACUGUUACACAGGUAGAGGAAUUGAAGAUUUUGAUUCGCAUGUUUCCAAUCUUGGCAACAGGAAUUGUGUUUUCUGCCGUUUAUGCCCAAAUGUCUACAUUGUUUGUGGUACAAGGCAAGCUGAUGGACAGAGUUGUUGGCUCUGUCACCAUUCCUGCAGCAUCUCUCUCAUUUUUUAAUUCUGUAAGUGUUAUCAUCUGGGUCCCUAUCUACGACACGAUAAUCAUUCCAAUCGUCAAGAAGUAUACAGGCAAGGAGAGGGGUUUCUCACAGUUGGAACGCAUGGGAAUCGGGCUCUUUGUAUCGAUUCUAUGCAUGUCAGCUGCUGCAGUGGUAGAGAUUAAGCGAUUGCAGCUUGUCAGGGAGCUUGGCUUGGUUGAUGAAGAGGUUGCUGUACCGCUUAGCAUACUUUGGCAAAUUCCACAAUAUUUUUUGUUAGGCGCUGCUGAGGUUUUCACCUUUGUUGGGCAGCAUGAGUUCUUCUAUGAGCAAGCGCCGGAUGCCAUGAGGAGUUUGUGCAGUGCAUUGUCUCUUUUGACAAAUUCAUUGGGGAGUUACCUCAGCUCUCUCAUUCUGACAAUCGUCACCUCGAUCACUACACAGGGAGGGAGUCCAGGAUGGAUUCCAGACAACUUGAAUGAAGGCCAUCUUGAUUAUUUCUACUGGCUUUUGGCUGGACUCAGCCUCCUCAAUUUGCUGGUAUACAUGGUCUUUUCCAGAAGGUACAAGGAGAAGAAAGCUGCUUAAGAUGUCAUCAAGGGCAAGAAGUUGAAGUUUGAUUUCUAAUCACUUUCCGAGAUGGCAGCAAGCAAUUGCUGGAAAGAACUGUUUACAACUAUUGUAGUAAAUCGUAAAGAUUAUUGGUUCACAAUUUGCUUGGUUGCAAAUUGAAAGAUAUGAAUUAAUUUGGUUAGCAAUGAGCACUUCUGCUAUGCAAUUGUAAGCAUAGCUCAAGAGCUAAAAGUGAUAAAUUACUUUAAUUCAUUUGUUGGCAUAUGCAGUUUUGCAGAAACCAAUCAGUAUAGAAUAUUCUAGUACUGUUCAUAGCUUUAAGCUAUCCCCGGAGAAGUUGAGGGUUUCUUAAGCAAGAGAAAACAAUAUAUAUUUCUGAUCAGACUGUUCUGAACAUGUGACAAACUAGAUUAUUUCCUUAAAGAUUGCCCAAUCAUGCUGACACUGAUAUAGCAUGUUCAGUAUAUUGACCAGGUUGGGGAGAUAACAUCUGAUUUUGAGACUGUUCAAGUGGUUGAAAUGCUCUUACAGACGCAAACUUGUAACUUCUUGUGUCUUCAUCCUGGUAAUUAACUCAUCCUGCAGGAUAAACUCUUGUAAGUUUUUCAGGUCUGCAAAUGUAUAAACUCCUACUGGUUGAACAUUCCAAACACACAAAGAAUGCAGAUAAGGUAGGGAGAGUGAGCAUGUUUACCUGGAGGGUACAGCACUAUAGAUGACAUUUUAUUAGGGAAAAUGUCCAUUUAAUACUAAUUUUAACCCCUCAUUGCCGAUUCCAAUGUAGAUUCUUCUGUUUUCUUUCAUAACAUAUGAUCAAUUUUCCAAGUGCAGCAUUCAGGAAAAGCUUAACACAACAUGAGCUUAUCCAUAUCAACCUAGGAAUGGCUCCUAUGUCCAGCUAUCUCCACUCUGAUCUGCUUCAGCACAAGCUUGAUUUUGCAUGUCAUUGUUUGGUGGUAUGAGCUUUGAAAUUAAUCCCAAUGACUCGUCGUCCACGCCUGCCAAUAUGUUUCCAAAAGGACGAUGACAUUAUCAAUAUGUCAAAUUUCAAUAAGACUUAUAUGAAGUUCAUCCUGUAGCAGAAACAGACAGACAGUACAGAACUGCAGAGUUUUGAGGAAGGAUAUAUACCUGAGUGUUCAGAAGUAAUGGAACACAUCCACGUCAUCAAAGAACAAUGAUAUCCCAAAAGUAUAAGGGAUAAACAAACUCUUCUGAGCAUAGACAGAAGAUCCACAUGAUCAGUUGAAUAAUAAAUCCGUGCCCCUCUUUGCGGAUGUAAACUAAUUUAGCUAGUUGUACUGUCUUACGAUGGCUGGAAAAGCAACGGUUUAUUAGCUGUGGACUGUAAAAGGCUGUGUGCUGGUUCCUUUUUCAUACUCCUGUUAUCUACCAGACCUCGUGUCUCCAAGGCAUUGUCCCAAGCACCAGAUGCGGCAUAGAUGCUUCCAAGAACAACAUAGUUAACUGAUUUCUCUGGAUCAAUAUCAUAAAGAUGCAUUGCUGCCACUUCCCCAAGUGACUUAUUACCAUAGUUGCUACAUGCCCCAAGAAUGGCUCCCCAAAGUGAAGCAUUAGGCUUAAUAUUCAUGUGCCGUAUCAAAUUAUGAGCAUCUUCUAGCAAACCUGCACGUGCAUGAAGAUCUACCAAGCAGGAGAAAUGCUUAGCUCGAGGCAUGAUGUUAUAUUUGCUAUACAUAGAACUGAAGCAUUCCCAUCCUUCAUCUGUCAAUCCACUAUGGCUACAAGCAAAGAGAAGAGACAAGAAUGUAACAUCAUUAGGCUUCAAUCCCUCACGCUCCAUCUCUCUAUAUAAUGCAAUCGCUUUAUGUCCAUGGCCGUUCCUUCCAUAUCCAGAAAUCAGUGACGUCCAUGAAACUACAUUUUUUUCCUCCAUCUCAUCAAAAGCAUGGUUAGCAUCUUCAAUUUCUCCGCAUUUUGCAUACAUAUCAACAAGAGCAUUCCCCAAGGCCACGUCAAGAGAAGGUUGGUGUUUAAACACAAGUGCAUGGAUUUGUCUUCCAAAAAUCAAUGAAGCAACAUUUGCACAUAUAUUAAGCAUGGAGCAUAGUAUGACACCAUCCAGUCUCAUGUUCAUAACAAUCAUUUCUUUGAAGAGAUCUAACACACCUCCGCUGUAGUUACCUUCUCGUGCAUAUCCAUUAAUUAGUGCAGUGGAGCACAUAAUGUCCUUUUUUAUCAUACUCCUGUAUAUUCUAUGAGCAGACUCUACCUUCCCACAUUUUGCAUAUGCGUUGAUUAGCGAUCCACUUAAACUUCUGUGUGAUCCAAAACCCAGUUGCAUCAUCAACCCAUGCAUUUGACUAAUCCUCACCAAACCACUAUCUCCGGCCAAGCCUCUCAAAACACUCCCGAAUGUGAAGCAAUCAGGAACCAUACCUGACAUACGAAAAAUCAAAUAUGAAACAGACACAAAGAACAACACAACAACAAGACUACCAAACAUUGAAAAAAAACAAAGUAACCAAAAGCAUAAACAUUCACCUUCCCUCAUCAUUUUCUGAAACAUACGCAACGAGUCCUCACCAAAACCCUGAACAGCAUACCCUCCAAUGAUUGCAUUCCAAGAAACCAAGUCCCUCUCAGACAUUGCCUCAAAAACACAACAAGCAUCUUCCAUCUUCCCACACUUGGCAUGAAAAUCAACUAGUGCACUUCUCACAAACAAGUUCUCACCAAACCUUCCUUUCAAAACACACCCCUGUAUCUGCACCCCUACUCCCAAUGCCCUCAAACCAGUGCAUGCCUUCAAUGCACUCCCAUACCCAAACUGAUUAGCCCUCACCCCCGCUCUACGCAUUUCCAAAAAUACCCCCAAAGCUUUCUCAUAGUUUCCACUCUGAGCAUACCCAGAAACCAUAGAGGUCCAAGACACAACAUUUCUCUCAGGCAUUCUAUCGAACACCUUGCCUGCAGUGACUACACGCCCAAACUUGCAAUAAAAGUUUAUUAAUUUGGUGUUCAAAUUCAAAUUAGAAGCAAACCCAUUUGUUAUCAUAUGGGUGUGAGCCAAAAGACCGGGUCUUUCUACUCGUUCAUCGAUGCAGAGCUGCAGAAUCUUCAUGUACAAGCAAUAGUAAUGAUCCAAGUGAGUUGGGUACGAUUGACCAAGUCUCAGAGCUUCUUGAAGGUGACUCCUUUUCCACAAUGAUUGCAUUAUGUUAUUGGGUUUAUGCCAUUAAUGGCUUUUGAUUUGGGUUUGGGUUUUUGACUGAUACUAAUCUGAUCUUCAAGAUUUGGGUUCAAGUCUUGAAGAAGAGAGAUCAUAGGUUUGGUAUCAAACCAAGUUCUCUAUUUGGAUAGAUUUGUUGAGUUGUCACAUUUAUUUUUAAAUUUGGGUCAAUAGGGUUUAUGGUUUUCGGAGAAAGGUGGUUGAUAUGUGUUUAAUGAGAUACUCACUGAAUCAAUAUCAGCCAAAGGCCUUCGUUUGGUUGAUGGCACAUUUAUUUUUAAAUUUGGGUCAAUAGGGUUUAUGGUUUUCGGAGAAAGGUGGUUGAUAUGUGUUUAAUGAGAUACUCACUGAAUUAAUAUCAGGCCUUCGUUUGGUUAUGGAAAAGACAUUAGUUCAUUGGUCUUUUUUAUGUACAUAGAAAAAUAAAUUUCUCACUAGUUUCUCUAUGAAGUGUUUGAGAACGUCAAGAAAUUAACUAAGAAAUGUAUUUUAUUUUCCUUUCCAAUGUUUGGUUUAUGCAUGGAUAAGAAAAGAAGUAACACUAAUUUACCAAUUAUAUCCUUAGAAUUAAAAUAUAAAAUAUUCAAGAUUCAAAAAUUUUAUAGAUAAUUUGGUAAUAAUAUACAUUAAAAUAAUAUUUGAAAUAUGCAAUUAAUGUUGGGAAAGUAUGAGAGAUUGAAUCCCAUGGUAUAUGGGCAGAUCCAAUUUUCCAUCUAUUUUUUUUCUUUCCUUAAGUGUGCCAAACAAAGGAAAGUAACAAUUUUCCGUCCCAACAUUUCCAAUCUAUGAACCAAACAAGGCCUUUGGGUUGAUGAAGUUUCAAUUUCUGAGAAUUAAAAAGAAAGAAAAGAAUGGACUCAUUAGAUUAGCUGAAAAAGAAAAGCUUAUUUUAAUUGUUAAUCUCCUUGUCAAUAUCUGGUACUUCAAGUCUGUACCUGUCAUAAAUUUAACAAAUGAAAACAAUAAUAUAUAGAGUAAAGCUUAAUUUUCUGAUGCUUUGUUUGCUUGUCUGCAAUGACCGUUUACUUUUGAAGAGAAUAUUUUCUAGUCUACUGUAAGCGAGUUUUCAAUAGUUGGACUCCAUCUAUGAUCAAGGCUCCUAAAGUAUAUUCCACUUGCUUUGUUUAGAGGCACAACCAAAAGAUUUGAGCCAAGUUUUAUCAUUUGGAGAAGGGAACCUUAAGGUUGUGUUUAUUCAUGGCGUGCAGUCAUAACUUGAUUUUGUUUAUCUUUUUGUCAAGCUUGUGGAGUAGUUGCAAUGGUGCAAUGCACAUACUGGAACCAGGUGACUCUCUCGAUUCUUCAAGCUCCUUGGUUUCUGCAAAUGGGAAGUUCACUUUGAGUUUUCAUAGAUAUGAUGAUGCUGCAAGCUUGAGCUACCUAGUUUCGAAGUAUAAUGCGAGUCAUGAUUAUGCUUGGGUUGCAAAUAGAUACACUCCUGUUUUAUAUCCUUUUGGAAUUCUUACGUUGGACAGGAACAACACAUUGAAAAUCACUCAGAAAGAUGGUGAUCCUGUGGUGCUUUACUCUGCUGACUCAGGAACUAUCAUUGGUGAUGUUGUGGCUACUCUUAUGGAUGAUGGUAAUUUUGUGCUACAAGAAUUGAGCUCUGAUGGAUCGGCAAAGAGGGUUUUGUGGCAGAGUUUUGAUUAUCCAGGAGAUGUGCUUCUGCCAGGUAUGAAAUUAGGGGUUAACCGUAGUACUGGCCACAAUUGGUCACUCUCAUGCUGGUUAACUGAGAAAAGUGCAGUGCCAGGACCUUUCACUCUUGAUUGGGACCCUGAUGGAAAAGAAUUGCAAAUUAGGAGACGAGGGGUAGUUUAUUGGAGCAGUGGAGUCUUCAGAGAUGGGAGUUUGGAAAAUAUUAAGCAGAAGAGGUAUAAGUUCAGCAUUGUUUCAAAUGAGAAUGAAGACUAUUUCAGUUACUCUGCUGUUGAUCGAAAUGCUAGACCAGAAUGGCUGCUAACCACAAUAGGGAGACUAUAUGACUUUGAUGGAUCAAUGGAUAUUGCAAAAGCGGAUUCAUGUUAUGGAUAUAGCACUGAUGGAGGAUGCCAGAUUUGGGACCAGCCAACUGAGUGUAGGCGUUUUGGGGAUGUUUUUGAGCAAGAAAAUGGGUACUUCAAUCCGACUGGUUCCAGUGGUGCAAGUGUAACAUCUACCAGUGAUUCAAACACAAGUCUCAGUAUUAGUGAUUGUAAGGCUGCUUGUUGGGCAGAUUGUAACUGUCGUGGAUUCAUCUUUCUGAAUGCUAAUCAGACUGGAUGUCGGUAUUGGACUGGGAACUUGAAGUUCAUAGCAGACAGUGCAGGUUACAGUUCAAGUGUUGUUUACUUUUUAACAAAAAAAUCAGCCAGCAGCCGCUGUAAGUAUAUCAAUCUUUAAAGCUAGUAUUGUUCCACUAAUUUCUGUUUCCUAUGACUUCACAUAAUUCCACAUCAAGAACAAAUAAUAAGCUUUUGGGCAUAGAAAGUAAACAAUAGUCGCUUACACAACAAGCAAUGAAUUUUAGUCGUAAAUAGAAUAGAAAGUAGAAUGUAAGUUAAUGUUGAGUAAAAUUGCAUGAUUCACACAUUUAUUGCUAUAUAACUUGUUAUACUAUCUAGAUUAGAGGUUUCAGCAACCAGGCAUGGUUCUUUUCCAGAACCGUAUAUUGUAAGUUUGUAACUCCAUAUAAGUCUAAUUGUUAGCCUAUGCAGCACGUAAGUGGAUAUGGACUGGUGCUGCUAUUGUCACUGCUCUAUUGGUAAUGGUGCUUUGCAUAUUAUGCUGUCUAUUACGAAGAAAACUUAUCUUGUCAGGUAAUCUUUCCACAUAAAGAAUUAAUCUGUAGACACAAUUUCACAGAAUUGAAAAACGAAUAUAUUCUAAUUUGUAUAUUACUCUUAGUAGGGGAGAACAAGAGAAAGAUUGAUGAGCAAAAACUACUUCGCUUAAGGGGAUCUGAUAUAUCAACUGAUGUCCACGGGAUUCAGCAUGAUGGAUCCAUGGGACAUGAUUUAAGAGCAUUUAGCUAUGAAUCUGUCAUGGCUGCCACGGACAACUUCUCCUUACAGAACAAGCUAGGAGAGGGGGGAUUUGGACCUGUUUAUAAGGUAAACUUGAGGUAAUGAGAACUUUAGGAGUUAAUUAUAAAUUGGCUACUAAAUGAAACUGAUCAUAUGGCCUAUUAUGGAUUCAAUUCAGGGAAAAAUGCCGACUGGUCAAGUUAUAGCUGUAAAGACACUUUCAAGUUGUUCAGGGCAAGGGGAAGUAGAGUUUAAGAAUGAAUUGAUACUCAUAUCUGAACUCCAACAUACUAAUCUAGUUCAGCUUUUCGGAUUUUGCAUCCAUGGUAAAGAGAGGAUGCUGAUAUACGAGUAUAUGCCAAACAAGGGUCUGGACUGCAUUUUAUUUGGUAAUUAGACAAUCACUUAAUUGUACAUCUGAGUUUUAGUUAUGAAUAACCUUUUCUUACUGAACUGAGUCUCUGUAUGUAUGGCCAGAUUCAACAAGAUGCAUGCUACUAGAUUGGAAGAAGCGCUUCAAUAUAAUUGAAGGAAUCGCCCAAGGAUUGCUUUAUCUGCACAAGUACUCAAGAUUGAAAGUAAUUCAUAGAGAUCUUAAAGCAAGUAACAUACUACUUGAUGAAAAUAUGAACCCCAAAAUAUCUGAUUUUGGUACGGCAAGGAGUUUCAUGCUCAAUGAAGUUGAAGCAAAUACUGGGCGGAUUGUUGGGACACAGUAAGUCCUAUACUAUAUAAGAAGAAUCUUCCUAUUGUAUCUGUUACUUCUGGUUGCUAUUCAUGCGUUCAUGUAAUGUGUACUAAAGAUAUGUUCUCUUUCAUUUGGACAGUGGUUACAUGUCUCCCGAGUAUGCUAUGCAGGGAAUUUUUUCUGGAAAAUCUGAUGUUUUCAGUUUUGGAGUGUUGAUGCUUGAAAUCAUAAGUGGUAGGAGAAACAACAGGUUUCACAAUGCUCAUCGCGCGCUCAAUUUAGUAGGAUAUGUAUGUCAUGCAAUUCUUAUUGUAUGAAAUUCUUUUUUCUUUCUUUUAGGUGUGAUCAACAUCUGAUAUAUCCUAAAUGAAUUCAAUGUUGUUUCAGGCUUGGGAGUUAUGGCAAGAAGGUGCAGGACUGGAAUUGAUGGACACAACAUUAAGUGAUUCGUGUGUUGAAAAUCAAUUUUUAAGAUGCAUCCAUGUUGGUCUACUAUGUGUUGAAGAAGAUCCAGAACUUCGGCCAACCAUGUCAGAUGCCAUUUCUAUGUUGACAAAUGAAAGCCUGCCUUUACCUAUACCAACGAGACCGGUAUCUUUUCCAGUAAGGCAUUCGGCUGGGGUUGAUAUAAGAGGAACCGAAUCCGAAAUGUUAUCAGAAAAUGGCUUGUCCAUCUCCCUUAUUAUAGGACGAUGAAGGCACUACUGACAUUUUUAGCAUGCCUCAGUUAUACUUUUGUCAGAGUACCGAUAUUUGGUUUAGAAGAUUAACUUUGCCAGACAUCUUUGAUCACUUUAGCUGGCACUUCAUAUGUGCUAUGGCCUGUGGGAGAAGGUGCUCGCCUAAGAAUCUUACCUGGUAGAGUUAGAUCAAAUGUAAAUAGCUAAAUGAUUCUUUGUGAAAACAGUGUCAUAUAUACUAGCACAUAUCUCCUCUGGAUUUUGUUUGUAACUGUCUAAUAGGUAAUCAAGUGGACAGUUACUGUUUAUUUUUUAAAUUUUUUAAUUUUUAAUUUUUAAUUUUUUUACACUUGACAUACUUAAAUUGAUCUUUGUUGUAACAAUGUUUCCUGUCAUUAUCAACAUCUCUGUGCUUUAUGUUUACUAUGUAAACAAAGUGUCAUAUAUACAAGUAGAUUGUAUCUCCUCUGUAGUACACCUGUAACUAUGCAACAAGUAAUUUAAGUAUAUAAAAGAGAGGUCACUAUAGUGUGUGUCCUAAUCAAAUUUUACAAUAAUUUACUCAAGUGUAUAAGAAACGUCACUGUAAUAUGUGUCAUAAUCAAGUUUUAAUGUAGUUUAUAAAGUUAAUGAGAGACGAUUUCUAGAAGUUGAAACCAGAGUUGCCUAUUGUUGAAGUUGAAACCGGAUUUACUUGUUGAAGUUGAAACCGGAUUGUUUUUCAGUGGACUUUUGAAUCUUCAUUACAAGUUUGCCUUGGAGUGGACCCACUCUUCUCAAUGCUUGCAUCAUUUGAGAUUUUUCUACAACUGCUGUCAUUGCAAUUAUUCCAAGGUUGAUAUUUUCGAGUUAGGUCUGUCUAGCUUGUUUAGGUCAUGUUGCCAAUGGGGACCAAAUGACCACCUCACUUUCAUUUUCUGUUUUUGUUUUGGCGGCUAGUAAACCAAUGAGAUCUGAGAUACACCCUUCCCAUUUUUAACCAUGUGUCAAAAUGGCCAGAAACGUAAGCGGUUUUCGUUCUUCCUUUAAUUGUAAAGACACUGCCAAGGACCCAACUCAACGGCGGCAGUUCCUCACUACCACCCACCGCCACCAUUCAAUCCCAAAACUCUAAGUCUUUGGAGAAGAAGAUACAUCAGAGGUUUGGCCUCAAAACCCAAGUUCUCAGUUCUCUGUUUGAUUCAAGUUCAAUUCUUUUUACCAUCUUUCAGCUUUGGGUCAAUUGGGUUAUGUGGGUUUUGAAGAGAAAGGUGGUUGAAAUGUGUUUGGUGCAAGUAGUGAGUGAUUAAGAAAGAAAGCUCAUUUCUUUAGUGCUUAAAAUAGCUGUAAUUGGGAUAAGGCAACACUCCUGUGACUCCUGUCCCUCUCUUCUCAUCUAUCAAAUAGAGAACCUGAAUAAUUAAAGUAAAAGACUUCAUUUUUGUAAUGCUCUAUACCCAGCUGGCUGCAGUUGACCGUUUACUUUUUAGGGAGAGAUUGGUUUUUGAGUGAUAAAUUCCCUUCAAUUAUUCCAGCACAAAAAGGGUCUCUGGAAUAUUUGGCUUUAAUUGCUGUACAGCCCAGUUUUUUUUUUUUGUCAGACAAAGAUUUUAUAAAUUUGGAUUUUGGAGGAGUUGUUCUUUUGUGGUUGUGGUGAUAUAUGGCUCGCGCUGCGGAUUUGAUUUGCUUGAUGUUUGUGUGGAGCUUGUGGAGUGCUGCUUGUAAUGGUGCAACAAACACAUUGAAACCAGGUGAUAGUUUAGUUUCUGAUAGUUCAUUAGUUUCUGCAAGUGGGAAGUUCACUAUGAAUUUUCGUGUUUAUGAUCAUGAGGCAAACUUGAGCUACUUAGUUAUAAAGUAUAAUGCGAGUCAUAACUAUGCUUGGGUUGGGAAUAGAGAAACACCGAUUCUGUACCCUUUUGGAGUUCUUACCUUGGACAGGAACAACACAUUGAAAAUUACUCACAGAGAUGGGGAUGCAGUGGUGCUUUACUCUGCUGAAUCAGGAACUGUCAGUGGUGAUGUUGUGGCUACUCUUACGGAUGAUGGCAAUUUUGUGCUACAAGAGUUGAGCUCUGAUGGAUCGGUGAAGAGGGUUUUGUGGCAGAGUUUCGACUAUCCUGGAGAUGUGCUUCUGCCAGGUAUGAAGUUAGGGGUUAACCGUAGUAAUGGCCAUAAUUGGUCACUCUCGUGCUGGUUAACUGAGAGAAGUGCAGUACCAGGACCUUUCACUCUUGAUUGGGACCCUGAUGGAAAACAAUUGAAAAUUAAGCGGCGUGGGGUGGUGUAUUGGAGUAGUGGAGUGUUUCGAGAUGGGAAUUUUGAAAAUAUUAAGCACAAGAGGUAUAAUUUUAGUAUUGUUUCAAAGGAGAAUGAAAACUAUUUCAGUUACUCUGCUGUAGAUGAAGAUGCUAUAUCAGAAUGGCUGCUCACCACAAUAGGGCGACUAAAAGACUUUGAUGGAUUACUUGAUAUUGCAAAAGCAGAUGACUGUUAUGGGUAUAACACUGAGGAAGGAUGCCAGAUUUGGGACCAGCCAACUAAGUGUGGGCGCUUUGGUAAUAUAUUUGAGCAAGAAAAUGGUUACUUCAAUCCGGCAGAUUCUAGUGGCUCUCCUACAACAUCAACAACAGAUCCAAAUACAAGUCUCAGCAUUAGUGAUUGUAAGGCUGCUUGUUGGGCAGAUUGUAACUGUUGUGGAUUUAUCUUUCUGAAUGCUAAUCAAACUGGAUGUCGGUAUUGGAUUGGAAACUUGAAAUUCGUUCCAGACAGCACGGGUUAUAGUUCACAGAUCGUAUAUUUUUUAACAACAAAGUCAGCCGAUAGCAGUUGUGAGUAUACUAAUCCUUUGCUUGUUUAUAAUAAGCAUGUUUGUCUAUACAAUAACUGGUAUAUUAUAACUCUGUAUAUAGCUAAUUGUUCGCCUAUGCAGCACAUAAGUGGAUAUGGAUUGGCACUGCUAUUGGUACUUCUGUAUUUCUAAUGGUGUUUUGCAUCAUCUGCUGUCUAUUAAGAAGAAGAAAACUCUCCCUUUUUGGUAAGUUCUUAAACAUAAUGAGAUUUUAGAGAUAAUUUCCCAGAUUUGAAGAACAAAAAAAGUUUCUAUAUUGUACUAAAUAGGGAAGAACAAGGCAAAGAUCGAUGAGAAGGACCUGCUUGACUUGAGGGGAUAUGAUAUAUCAACUGAUGCCCACGGAAUUCAGAAUGAUGGAUCCAUGGGACAUGAUUUAAGAGCAUUUAGCUAUGAAUCUGUCACGGCUGCAACAGACUACUUCUCCUUUCAAAACAAGCUUGGAGAGGGGGGCUUUGGACCUGUUUAUAAGGUUAGUUUGACGUAAUGAGAAUUAAUAUUCUAAUUGCGUGCUAUAUGAAACUGAUCAUAUGGCUUGACGUUGAUUAUCAAUUCAGGGAAAAUUGGCAUCAGGGCGAGAAGUAGCUAUAAAGAGACUUUCAAGAGGUUCGGUGCAGGGGAUAUCGGAGUUUAAAAAUGAAUUGAUACUCAUAUCUGAACUCCAGCAUACUAACCUUGUUCAGCUGUUGGGAUAUUGCAUUCAUGGUGUAGAAAGGAUGUUAGUAUACGAGUAUCUUCCAAACAAAAGUUUAGACUACAUAUUAUUUGGUAAUCAGCUAUGUUUCAUCUAAGUUCUUGUUUCAUCUCAGUUUCAGUGUUGAAAAUACAGAUUUUGUCAUGUUAACCAAGCACUCUAUAUGUAUUGGCCAGAUUCAACCAGAGGCAUGCUACUAGAUUGGAAUAGACGUUUCAAUAUAAUUGAAGGAAUCGCUCAGGGAUUGCUUUAUUUGCACAAAUACUCAAGAUUGAAAGUAAUACAUAGAGAUCUUAAAGCGAGUAACAUACUACUUGAUGAAGAUAUGAAUCCCAAAAUUUCUGAUUUUGGUAUGGCAAGGAUUUUCACAGUUAAUGAAGUUGAAGCAAAUACUAAUCGGAUUGUUGGGACGUAGUAAGAUAUACGCUAGCAACUUAUUCCUUGUUUCUUUCGGUUUUUAUUGCUAAUCAUACAUUUAUGUGUGUGUGCGCACUAAAAAUAGGUUCUUUUUCAAUGGUACAGUGGUUACAUGUCACCUGAGUAUGCUAUGGAGGGCAUUUUUUCGGGAAAAUCUGAUGUCUUUAGUUUUGGAGUGUUGAUGCUUGAAAUCAUAAGUGGUAGGAGAAACAACAGCUUUCACAAUGCUCACCGCGCGCUCAAUUUAGUAGGAUAUGUAUGUCAUGCAAUUCUUUCAAUUGUAAUGAAUUUCUUUUUCGUUUUGUGGUGUGAAGUUUUGAUAAUAUAGAGAUAUAAUCUUCUUUCAGACAUGGGAGCUAUGGAAAGAAGGUGCAGGACUAGAUUUAAUGGAUCCAAGGCUAAGCGGUUCGUGUAAUGAAGAUCAAUUGCUAAGAUGCAUACAUGUUGGUCUUUUAUGUGUGGAAGAAGAUGCAGACCAUCGCCCAACCAUGUCAGAUGCCAUAUCAAUGUUGACCAAUGAAAGUUUGCCAUUACCUACACCAACAAAGCCAGCAUUUUUUCCAGUAAGACAUGUGGCUGAAACUGAUGCAAGUGGGAGCAAAUCAGAAAUUUCCUCAACUGACUUCACAAACUCCUUUGUUAUGGGCCGAUGAAGGCAUUAACAUAUGUUUGGUGUGCCUCAGAAUUAUACUUACAUGAAUGUGACUGUACUUAGUUUAGAAAAGUAACUUGCUGGAAAAUCAUAUUUUGCUUGUGGAAGUAGGUGGCUAAACUGCCAAGUUAUCCUGGCUGAGUUGGAACAACUGGGGAUUUCUUUGUGAUUGUGUUCCCCUAAAGUUUCUUAUACAUUAACACAUAUCUUCUCUUAAGUGUAGUUUGUAACUUAUGUAACAGGUAAUUGACAAUUAUUAUUAUACUUGGUGUAUAUAAUAUGUACAAGCUUCCUAUGAUUAACAUUUUCAGCACUAGUGUCAUGAUUAUGAGAUGCCAAUCAGAGCUUACUGCUCCUUUGUUUUCAUUUUUGAAAUUAAAAGUUGUGCAUUUUCCUUUUGUACUGCUUGGUUCAAUAAUUCAUUUGUGUAUGGAUUUUGGACAUGGAGCUGCCCUCAUUCCUGUGCAUGAAUUGUGACUAUAGCAGCACCAGUGUUUUUUGCAAUAUUGUAUGUGAAUCCUCUUUGGUUAUACUCGAGCUAAUGUUCAGGCUUUGACAAUCAGUCCAGCCUUUCUCAGCCUAACAGAACAAGUUCCACUCUCACCUUUGGGUUCUUUGCUGACUACAACAGCAACUAAUUUGUUCAUUGCAGUUUCAGAUUUCAGCUUGAUCUAAACCUAAGAAGGUACAUUUCUCUUCUACCGCAAUUGCCAUAAUUCCAAGCUUGAUUUUUUUUGUGUGGAAUCCAUUGACGUCUUUUAGUUGGUAAGAAAGCCUUUCAAAUUUUUUUGGCGGCUUGCACAAUGAGAGAUCUCAUACCAUUCCAUUUUUGUACCUACUCCUUAACUAUGUGUCAAAAUGUCGAAAUUCCAAACGUAAACAUUUCCCCUUUUCUUCCUUUAUUUUAAUUUGAGUUAAAUUUCCACUAUUUCAGGAACAAAUGAGUGGUUUUUUGAUCCAACAGAUUUCUUAUGGGUUGCAAUGUUCCUUCUCCUCUGAAAAAACAGACUAUCCCCAAUAUAGGGAUGGUGAUGAAAGAAGGUACAGAACAACAUUUUCCAGAUUUACAGCAAUCAAUCGCUGAAAUUACAUGAAAAGAUUAUGGAGAUUGUAAAAUAAACAGUCUGAUUAGGUUGGCGCAGACAUAGAUUUUGAGUGUUGCUUCCCUGUAAAGAUAAAUUAUAGGGACCUGUUGGAGUUGCUCUUCAUCGCGAAGAGCCGGAAGGUGGAACAAGACAAACGACAACAGGUCCUUGCUUCAUUCUGGACCCCCCACCUCCAUUUAAUUCCAAAGUUCAAGUUUUGGAGAAGACAGCCAUAGGUUUGACCCCAAACCAAGUUAUCUAUUUGAGUUCCGGUUGAAUAUUUUUUUUCUUUCUUUUGCCCCAUCUUUCUGUUUGGACCAAUUGAGUUUAAUGGUGUCUGGAGAAAGAUGGGUGAAAUGCCUUGAAGGUGUAUGAUGAAUUUUGCUAACUCAGAAAGAAAGCUCCUUUCUUUGAUGCUCAAAAUAGCUGUGAUUAGAAAGAAGUUACAUGCACAUGCAUGUAUCAAUCAAACAAAAAACUUGAAGAAUUAAAGUAAAAGAGUGUAGCAUUUUAGGCCAAAGAUCAGAUUAUUUGGAUUCUGGUUUUGGUUGUGGUAUGGCUCGCAUUGUCGAUUUGAUUUGGUUGAUGUUAAUGUGGAGUUUGUUGAGUGGCUGUAAUGGUCAACAUAACACCCUGAAACAAGGUGAAAGUCUAGAUUCUGAUAGUUCAUUAGUUUCUGCAAAUGGGAUGUUCACUAUGACUUUUCAUAUUUAUGAUCAUGACUACAAUUUUACUUACUUAGCUAUAAAGUACAAGGAGAGUCAUAACUACGCGUGGAUUGCAAAUAGAGAAGAUCUAGUUGAGUACCCUUCGGGAGUUCUUACAUUGGAGACGAACAAUACUUUGCACAUUACUAGAGGUGAUGAUGAUCCAGUGCUGCUUUACUCUCCCGACUCGGAAACUAUCAAUGGUGAUGUUGUAGCUGUUCUUAAUGAUGAUGGCAAUUUUGUGGUACAAGAAGUGAGCUCUAAGAGGGUUUUGUGGCAGAGUUUUGAUUAUCCUGGAGAUGUGCUUCUGCCAGGUAUGAAGUUAGGGGUUAACCGUGGUAAAGGCCAGGAUUGGUCACUCUCGAGUUGGUUAUCUGAGAAAGCUGCAGUUCCAGGACCCUUCACUCUUGGUUGGGAUGGAAGCCAGUUGAUAAUUAAACGGCGAGGGAUGGUUUAUUGGACCAGUGGAGUGUUACGUGAUGGGAAGUUUGAGAAUAUUAAGCAGAAGAAGUAUAGUUAUAAAACUGUUUCAAAUGAGAAUGAAUUUUCUUUCACUUACUUAGCUGCAGAUCAAAAGGCUACACCACAAUGGCUGCUUACCACAAUGGGGCGGCUACAAGACUCUGAUCGAGGUGAUAUUGCGAAAGCGGAUUCCUUUUAUGGGUAUAACAAUAAGGAAGGAUGCCGAACGUGGGAUCAGCCAACUGACUGUAACCGUACUGGUGAUGUAUUCCAGCAAUACAAUGGUUACUUUAAUGAUGGAGGCUCUAGAACUGAUUAUCCGAAUGCAAGUCUCAGUCUUAGUGAUUGUAAGGCUAAUUGUUGGGCAGAUUGUCAGUGUAAGGGAUUCAGCUUCUUCUAUACUAAUCAGACUGGAUGCAAGAUUUGGAGUGGAGAUCGGAUGUGGAAUUCAGUCGAGACAGCGCAAGUUCAAAUCUUGUAUAUUAUCUGGAAGAACAGGAACCCGACGAGACGUGUAAGUGUACUCAUCCUAAGCUUGUUUAUAAUGAGCAUGCAUGUUUAUCAAUACUAUAGCUGGAAUAUUAUUACUAAAUAUUGAGUUAACUGUUGGCCUAUGCAGCAGCAUCUGAUUGGAUAUGGAUUGGAGUUUCUAUUGGCGUUUCUGUACUUUUGGUGGUGGUUUGCAUCAUCUGCUGUAUAUUAAGAAGCAGAAAGCUCUUCCUUUUUAGUAAGCUUCUUAAGCAUGAUGAACUUUUAGAGAUAAUUUAAUUUCCCGGAUUUGAAGAACAAAUUAACUUUCUGUUGUAAAUAGUUAUUAUUUAGUGGGCAUUCUUGUAAUUAACCGACUAGGGUUGUUAUUGUAAUUUAUAUCAUGGCCUCAUCUCUAUAUAAGAGAUGGUUUCCUACUCAAUAAUACAUACAUAUUCUCUCAUUCUCUUGGUUGUUUCUCUCCUUUCUCAAUCUAUUCUUUUUGUUUUACAACACGUUAUCAGCACGAAUAGUUCUAACGCUAAAGUAGUUUUUAUGCAGCAUAGAAGAGAGACCGUUGAUCAAUCGAUGGAAGAAUCAUUCAACAUGGUUCAAAAUUUCAAUCACAAACAAGCUCUCGGAUUGGAUUAGAAGUUUAGUCCACCAAUAUUCUCGAUUCUGACACAUAAGAUGAACACUCAUUGAUUCGUUUUGCAUCGAGUAAAGUUUUCUAAACUCUAUUAUAAUUCAUGUUUCUUUUAAACCUUGAUUACAUGAAAAACCAUCCUGAAGCAUGAACCAUAUGUUGUUUAUGUUUCGAUUUUAUGAUUUCAUGCUUAUUAACUUUGAUUGCAUAUUGAAANNNNNNNNNNNNNNNNNNNNNNNNNNNNNNNNNNNNNNNNNNNNNNNNNNNNNNNNNNNNNNNNNNNNNNNNNNNNNNNNNNNNNNNNNNNNNNNNNNNNNNNNNNNNNNNNNNNNNNNNNNNNNNNNNNNNNNNNNNNNNNNNNNNNNNNNNNNNNNNNNNNNNNNNNNNNNNNNNNNNNNNNNNNNNNNNNNNNNNNNNNNNNNNNNNNNNNNNNNNNNNNNNNNNNNNNNNNNNNNNNNNNNNNNNNNNNNNNNNNNNNNNNNNNNNNNNNNNNNNNNNNNNNNNNNNNNNNNNNNNNNNNNNNNNNNNNNNNNNNNNNNNNNNNNNNNNNNNNNNNNNNNNNNNNNNNNNNNNNNNNNNNNNNNNNNNNNNNNNNNNNNNNNNNNNNNNNNNNNNNNNNNNNNNNNNNNNNNNNNNNNNNNNNNNNNNNNNNNNNNNNNNNNNNNNNNNNNNNNNNNNNNNNNNNNNNNNNNNNNNNNNNNNNNNNNNNNNNNNNNNNNNNNNNNNNNNNNNNNNNNNNNNNNNNNNNNNNNNNNNNACAAGCAUUAUGGGCCAAAUUAUUGUGCACAUUAUGAUACAAACGUUAUGAAUUUAAUAUUCAGUUACGUCAAUUUGAAUAAUUUCCAUUAUAAGUCAUUAUGCUAGAAGCAUGAAUUUUGGGUUUAAUUACGUAAUUAUUAUAUAAACGUUAUGCCAGUAGCAUUUACCUCAUUUAUUACUAAUAUAGUAAUACAUAAUGUUAUAAGCAUUAAUGGGAUUUAAACCCAUAACCGCUACAUAAAUGAUAUUUGUUAUUGACUUUAUGUCGGAUCCUAAUUUAAUGUCAAUUACGAAUUAGAAUCAUAUUCAUUUCAAUUUGACGUUUAUGAGGGUAUAAUGCCAUAAACAAUUACACAUUUAUAACCCCAUAAAUUGUGCUUGAAGUAUUAAGGUUUAAUUACGCGAUUAUUACAUCAAUGUCAUGCCAGAAGCAUUUAUCCAAUUUAAUACUUAUGUGUAAUGCUAGAAGCAUUAAUGAGAUUUGAACUCAUUGCCUUUGGUACUUAACCGCUGCAUAAAUGAUAUUUAUUUAGUAAUUUAUGCCAUAUAUUAGUUGUCGGUUACCAAAUUCAAAUCGCGUCAGUUUUAUUCAAUUAGUUCUCAAUUAUGUUAUCGUUUAUAUCGAUAAUUAUUAUGAGUAUGUAAUGACAUUAAUGCCAGAAGCAAUUGGAGAUGCAAAUGAGUUAGUUUUGCAAAUAACCGCUACGUUAUUGACAUUUAUUGGUUCAGUAAAUACCAAUUUUAUUGCAUAUACAUUAUGUCAAUGAGAAUUAAAUUGUUUCCGUUAUAAUUUAAUUUAUUUCGGUUUAAUAUAAUUACUUUCACAUUAAGUUUGUCUGUUAUGAUUUAAUAACAUAUAUUGCACUGGUUUAUGUUACAUUGGUGAAUAUUAACGAUGUUAAGUCAGAAGCUUAAAUCAAGCAUGAAUAUAAAUGAAAUUGAGCCAGAAGCUCGACGUAAGCUGCAAAGCUAGAACAUAAGCUCAUCAUGUGUCGCCUUGAGUCCAUGACAAUGAUUAUAAUUUUUCUCAAACUAAGCUCACCUAGUUGGAUGCGAUGUCUAGGCAAGUACUUUUGAGGAUGUAUACUUAAGUGAGCCUCGCUCCACCACCUCAUCAUGGCUUACCUGGUAGUAUACAAUUGGAGUUACCGAAAGGGUUGAUUAAUAACAUUGCAUUUCUUGGUAGACCAUUCUUAGCCCAGUAGGCCUACUCUCCCUCUACAGGACCUAAAAGCCCAACAUUUCUCUCAGAUUGUGCCCUGUAGACUUGUAAAGUAUGUAGAGGUUUAUCUCUUUCACUUUAAUUAAAGUCAAUUCCUUUGGUCCAGCAUAAUCAAACAAAAGAAAAAUAAUCUAAUGACACUGGUUUUUCGUACCUAGUCAUUAUGCAUGUCUAUAAGGCACUCCAAAUAUUUUCUCAUAAUAGCUGUUGUUAAUACAUUCACCAUAUGUAAUGUGUAGUUAAUUGCCAGAAGCAUUUACACAUAGUUACGUGACAUAUUCACUAUGCUAAAUUAGUAGCGUGGAAUUAAUAUCAUCAAUGUUACAUGAUUAUAACUUGAAAAUACAUGUACCUAAUGAACUAGUAGUUCAGAAAUGAACCGGUAGUUCAGACAUGAACCCGUAGUUCAUGUAUAAAUCGAUCUUCUAGUUUCGAUAAUAAUCCCCUUAAGAAACUUGAAGUUUUAUUCCAAAUUCAUCAGACAUGAUAAAAUCGGUAGCUUUAUCAUGUUAAUUGGUAGUCUCCAGAAGAAACAAUUUGAACUAGACAUCUUCCUUGCAUGAAGCAAAAGAAUAUUAAAAUGGAAGGGCUUGUUGCCUUAGAAUCUAAAUCAAAAUUGAUAUUAGUUAUCAAUAUUAAGGAAUUGAGCGUUCUCGUCUGGCUGACGAGGUCAAAAUACCUUUACGUUUCAGAAGAACGUUAUCGAAAGGUAAGUUCAUUGAAACCAAUGCUUAAAACAUUGAAACCACUAGAAAAAUGGUGUAAUAUCUUUGCAUAACCUUUGAAUGUGCAGCCAGAAGCGUACAUUGAAUACAUUCAAAUUUAUUAGCUAGAAGCUAAAUGAUUCGAGCAAAUAGUAGCUAUAGUAUUGGUGUUUGCUGCACUCGGGAAAAACAUAUGAUGCACCGUAUCCUCAACUCAAUUAUCACACGGGCAUCCCCUUCAGAAUAAGGGUCUUGUCUUUGAUGACACAUUAUGUUAAGCUGCUCGUUAAGAAUAUUGAAUACUAGACCAUCAUAUGCAAAGACUAGAAUACACACUAUCUAUUUAUGCACAAAAUGCAAGGGAAAAUACGUGGACCUAUCCAACCAUCAUACGGACCAGUUAAAUAUUAAUGGUUUUGGUUGAUGCAUCGACAAAAGUGAUCAGAUGUCACAUCACUGUCCACAAGAAAAUGCUGCGUUUGCUAAACUCUCACCCAUGAAAUUUAGGGUACACCACUCGGAUUAUCUUAUAAAGUCUAUAAGAUAUGAUAAUGCCGGAGAGUUUACAUCGAUGACUUACGAUGAUUAUUGCAUAUCCCUUGGGAUAUGUUGAACAUAUAGUUUCCUAUGUUCACACCCAAGAUGGUCUCGUAGAUAGAACCUUGGUAAUGCGCACCAAGCUUUUACUAUUUGCGUCGGGCUAUGCAAUCUUGCAUGCAGCCAUGUCGGUCCAGUUGAGGCCCACUGCUACCCGUCUUAUUUCGUGUUACAGUUGGUGACUGGGUGUGAACCUGAUGUUUUUGCACUUACACGUAUUGGGUUUGCAGUCUCCAUGCCAAUUGUGCCGCCACAACGUACACAAUCGGGUCCUCAACAAAUGAUGGGCAUAUAUGUCGAUUAUGAACCCUAUCCAUUUAUGUGCUCCUUAGAGCCCUUGACAGGAGAUCCCUAUACCGCUAGAUUUGCGGUCUUCACUUUGAUGAGACAGUCUUCUCGCCGUUAGGGGGAGAUAAGAACGUGAGCGUUCCUGAUGAACGACGUGUAGAAUGUCUCAUCUUGAUCCCCAAACCGCACAUGUUAUAUUGAAAUGCGAAGAAUUCUACUUCUAGUUGAAGUGUAAAGAAUUCUAGAUCUAUGUAGUGUAUCCCAGAAUAUGCCAGACACUUCAUUAGAUCUAGUUAAAGUGACGAGAUCAUAUAUACCUGCUGCAAACCUGCAAGGAUAAAUAUCCCCGUAGGACGUAUAGUCCUAGUUGGACGAAGUACGGCCAUGGCGGCUAACCAGUCAUAGUCCCUGCCCUGAAGCGAGGUAGAUCAUUAGGUUUGAAUGAUUCUUAUCCCUAGAAGAGGGUAAACUUGACACAAAUGAAUCUUCUUGCCAUCGCAAUCUCAAACCAAUUCAACUCACGAGAUUAAUCCAGAUUAUGGGUUCGUCCUAGAAGAGACGAAGUUGGGGGACGCUCCAACAUUUAAACCCACUCCUGAGAAUAGAAAAUCUCGGUAAAUUUAGUGAGAUAUUGAAUCAGAAUGAGAGUUCAUCGAUGAUGUAUUUGUAUUUGCGGUGGCCACCGAAAUUAUAAUAAGCGAUGAUGUCGAACCUUGAUUCGUUGAUAGAUCUCAACGAAGAGACGACUGGCAAAAGAGGAAAAAAACAAUCCGGGUCAUAUUAGAUUCCUUAACUUAGAGAAAGGUGUUAUGGGCCUGUUGUUCUCACACCUCCCCAUGUUAAACAUGCAUAUAGAGUUUAAUGGGUACUUGUAAGGAAGCGUAAUGAGAAAAAUGAGAUUGUGAUAUACAAAACUCUUCUAAUGGCGCAAGGAUUUUCUCAUCGCCCUGUGAUUGAUUACGAGGAGAAGUAUUUUCCCGUAAUGGAAGUCAUAACGUUCCACUACCUUAUCAGUUUGGUAGUUUCCGAAUAACUGAAUAAGCAGCCUAUGAAUGUGGUAACAACUUAUCUCUAGGAGGAUCUGAAUAUAGAGAUAUACAUGAAGGUUCUUGAAGGACUUCUGUUACCCAAUGCAAAUAGUUCUAGACCACAGAACAUGCUCUCCAUUUGCUAGAGUAGUUCACUUUAGGGGUUCAAACAAUCCAGACGGAGUUGGUAUAACCGUCUAACUGUCUAAGUGAAUAUUUGCUUGGGAUGGGAUAUAUGAACAAUGGACUAUGCCCAUGCGUGUUUAUUAAGAAAACAAACUUCGGGUUUCAAUUUUUGGUGAUCUACGUCAAUAGCAUGAAUUUGAUUGAUACUCUUGAAGAGAUCAAGAAAACCAUAAAACACCUGAAGUCGGAGUUUGAGAUAAAAAGACUUUCAGAGACCAAAUCAUUUUUUCGACCUGAAGCCGUGUAAGUGCAAAUGGAAUUUUGGUCCAUCAAUCAAAUUACAUCUAGAAGAUGUUAAGAUGCUUUAAUGAGGAUAAAGCAAAGUCUUCAAGCUUACUCAUAAUCGUCUAAAGUCUAGUGAGACUCGUAUCAUCAUGUAGAUGAUAAUGAAGAGAUAUUGGGACCAGAAGACUCAUAUCUAAGUACAAUAGGCACAUUAUUGUACUUGGCUAAAUGUCAUAGACCGGACAUCUCACCCGAUGUGAAUUUGUUAGCUAGAUAUAGAUCUGCGCCAACACGCCGCCUCCGUAAAUGGCAUAAAAGACAAUUUUUCGUUACUUUAAAUGUAUGACGGAAAAUGGCUCGUUCUAUCCCUAGGCAUCAUGGAAUUGAUCAACCGCCUAUGAUUCUUGGAAUGAUGUUUGCCUUGUUAAAUAUGCUGAUACGGGUUAUGUAAACCCACACAAGGCUUAUUCCCAACUGGUUAUGUCUUUACUAUAGGGAAUACAAUAAUCUUAGAGGUAUAUGAAACAAAAACCUCUUUAAAUCAUGCUGACUAUUAAGUUAUUUAAGAAACAUGAUCAAUGUAGUAGUUUUACCUAGUGUGUAGUUUUCAGGGGGAGUCAAUAUUAGGGGGAGUAUCCUGAAGCAUACUCUUGACUAUUGUGUACUCUUUUUGUCCUUCGUCCAGGGUUAUUUUGUCCCACUGGGUUUUGUUACAUGGCAAGGUUUUAAUGAGGCACACAUGUAAUUGGUCACCUUGCUCAUGCUGCAUCUUGAAGAUGCCUUUAUUUGAAAUAUAUGCAUUUGCUCAUCUUUUCCCUUCGACCACGGGUUUGUCCCACUGGGUUUACCGGGCAAGGUUUUGGUGUAGCAACUAUUAUGCAUCUAUCUCCCAUAGACUCACAUCUUAUGAUUCAGACUGAACCACUUCACCGAAAUCAAGGGUUCUGACUAUUACUGCUACUUGUGCGUUGUACUCUUUUCUCCUUCGACCAGGAUUGUUUUUGUCCCAUAGGGUUUUUAUUACCUGGCAAGGUUUUGACGAGGCAACACCAAAACACAUAUCAGGGGAAACUAAUGACAGAGAAUACCCAAGGGGGAGUGUUGUAAAUAGUUAUUAUUUAGUGGGCAUUCUUGUAAUUAGCCGACUAGGGUUGUUAUUGUAAUUUACAUCAUGGCCUUAUCUCUACAUAAGAGAUAGUUCCAUACUUAAUAAGAUAUACAUAUUCUCUUCUCUUGGUUGUUUCUCUCAUUUCUCAACCUAUUCUUUUUGUUUUACAACAAGCAUAACUAUUUUCACAUUUUCUGUCUCAGUUUUUAACCAACUGCCCCUGGCGUUAACUCUGUCCAUUAAGUUUGUAUCAUGAGUGUAUAAACCUAGCUAGAGAUCUAUUUGCAUCAAAAGGAAGACUCGAUCAUCACCAACGAGCUGGUUUUAUAUCGUGCGUCUAACAGUUGAUGCAAAUAACUAAUUUGAUCUCGAAAUGACAAAGAAAUUUCCACAAGAAGACCUGGAAAUCAAGGACAUGCAUAUGUAUUAAUGUAGAUGUACUCAAAAAUGAAAAAGACUUCUUUUACCUAUCAAUUAUUUCUCCUUUUCUGGUUGCUAGUGGUUUGCUUGACUUCAGAAGGAAGACUUAUCAUAUGUCUCUUCAAAAUGAAAUAGACUUGUCUACGUGUUCACUAAUUUCUCUCCUUAAUUUUCUGAUCACGGCGUGAGUGUCAGUAUGGGAGUUCAGAGAGGAAGACUUGUCAUAAACAUCAAGACAAUACAAACGAACAAUUACUUCAGAUAUACAGAACUGCUAGUUUCUGGUCGUCUAUGUAUUGUAUGGUUCACAGUUAUGUAAAGAAUAUUGCCAUCGGAAUGACAAAGAAAAUUCCACAAGAAGACUUGGAAACCAAGGACAUGCAUAUGUCCUCAAUAAAGAUGGUUUGGAGUGUGCAGAGUGUUCCAACUGCAAUGAUCAAUAUCAAGGACUCGAAGUCCAGAUUCCUCGCAAUGCAGAACCUGCAGCAAUGAGUGGUUGUAGUUAUGAGAAUUGACAGGGGAAGACUUGUACACAAACAUUAAGGAAGACAAGAUAGCAACACUAGAUUUUGUGACCACACACCAAAUUCUAUGGAUGUAGAGAAAAGUUUGAUCCCAGGUCCCAGUUAGUCACUCAAUUAUUUCCGGACAGAGGGAGCGCAAGUUGAUUGGGACCAUGUAUUUGUAUCAAAGUUGAUGAAGACCAGACGAAAGGGACAUAUUCUACUGUGACAUACCACACCAACAGUUUACUUCAGAAUUCACAUGGAGAGAAGUCACAAAACUAUGUUAUGAAUUUAGAAAAAAGUUGAAUCCCCUUAUAGAAGUGAGCUGCGUGAUCAACUCGAGCUACUUUCUCUCAUGGCUUCUUCUUCUUCUGUACUGAUUAUGUUCUUACUCAGUACUGUUGUAGUUAUCAUCUCAAUCAUGAUGAAUGUGGAAGCUCAAAGAAUCCACUCCAAAUCCUAUAACAUCAGCUUGGACUCCUCUCUAUCCCCCAACACUAACCUCAGUUCAUGGCUCUCACCUUCAGGCCGUUUUGCCUUUGGUUUCUAUCGACAAGGCAACGGCUUUGCUGUUGGAAUAUGGCUUGUCAAUCAGCCUAAGCCACUAGUAGUCUGGACUGCAAACCGCGAUGAUCCGCCUGUAUCCUCUAGCUCUACUCUAACAUUGAAGAGAAAUGGUCUUCUCCUUCAGAGUUAUGAUAAGCACCAAAAAGAAAUAGCUGUUGCUAAUUUCUCAAGUACGGGACCGAACUCAGCAACGUACGGGUCUGCAAGUUCAGCUGCACUGCUUGAUUCUGGAAAUUUUGUGGUUUACGACAAUAACUCUACUGUUAUCUGGGAGAGCUUUAGUUUUCCAACUGAUACCAUUCUGGGGGGUCAAAAUCUGUAUGCUCCCGACAGGUUGGUAUCCAGUGCGUCUAUAUCAGAUCAUUCGAGUGGACGAUUUCGGUUGUGGAUGCAAGAUGAUGGAAACUUAGUUGCUUACCCAGUAAAUAGCUCCGCGAAUCCAGAUAAUGCUUAUUGGUCUACUGGUACUUAUGGUAAGGGUUUCAGUGUACACCUCAGUCUGAACAUAUCAGGUUUUCUCACUUUGCUACAGGAUGACACUAGGGUGCUCACUUUGGUCAAUGGAUCGUAUCAUGGCCGGAGUUGGAAUGUUAUCCACCGCGCAACACUGGAUGUGACUGGGAUUCUUCGACUCUACAUGCACAAUUUUGUGAGCAAUGAUAGUACUAGUUCCAGGGAAGAGCUGGUUUGGUCCUUUUUGCAGGACGAGUGUGAAGUCAAAGGUACAUGUGGCUUAAACAGUUACUGCACAGCAGUAGGAAACAAAACCAACUGCAAUUGUUAUCCAGGAUUUGUGAUCGACCCUACUGAUACAUCUGGCUGCUAUCGGAAUUCCAGUGGCGAUGGCUGCACUAGCAAUCAUCAAGACCCUCGCUUGCAGUACAAGGUAGCUGAAAUGGAGAAUGUGAUGUGGGGUGAUCAUCCAUAUUCAUUGGUAUCAAAGAAAAACCAGCAACUCUGUAGUGACUCUUGCCUGGAGGACUGCAAUUGUGGGGCGGUCCUAUAUACAAAUGCGAGUUGCAAUAUGUACAAGCUUCCAAUUAGAUACGGCAGGAUUAGUAAAAAUAUAUCUGAGAAAGGAAUCAAAGGAUUCAUCAGGGUGGCUCUUGGAAGCGUCCGUAGACCAAAGCCUACUGUUCCGGUCAGUUGGAGGGGAGAAAACAAAAGCAAUAAGAAUAAUAUGCUUAAAAUUCUUGCUCUAAGUCUGGGUUUCAUAGCUUUCAUGUGUUUUGUCUUUGCAUUCUCUAGCUUCUUUUUAUACAAGCACAGACUACAUAGGUAUCAGAAGCUGUUGCAGUAUACAAACUCCGGAUUAGUUGAUCAAGGGUACUUCACUUUGCAAUCAUUUUCUUACACUGAGCUUGAAGAAGCAACAGAUGGCUUCAAGGAAGAAUUGGGAAGAGGCAGUUUUGGGGCUGUUUAUAAAGGCACUCUGUCUGGCUCAACUGUUGCUGUCAAAAGACUGGAGAAAGUUGUGGAAGAAGGAGUAAGGGAGUUUAAAGCUGAAAUCACUACCAUCGGAAGAACUCAUCACAGAAACCUAGUUCAGUUGCUUGGUUUCUGCAUUGAGGGCUCUCGGAAGCUUCUCGUUUAUGAAUACAUGAGCAAUGGCUCACUUGCAGAUGUUCUCUUCAAGGCCAAAGGGGUGCGGCUCUCUUGGAAAGAAAGAGCAGGACUUGUAUUAGAUGUGGCUAAGGGGGUCCUCUACUUACACGACGAGUGUAGUGUCCACAUAAUCCACUGCAAUUUGAAACCCCAAAACAUACUCCUGGAUCACACUUGGACCGGCAAGAUCUCAGAUUUUGGUUUGGCAAGGCUACUAGUUCCAAGUGAAACAAAAAUUAAUUCUACUGGACUAGUUGACCAGAGAAGAAGUUAUGCAGCACCGGAAUUGAAGAAGAAUGCCAUGAUAUCAGUAAAAGCAGAUAUCUAUAGUUUCGGUAUUGUGCUCCUGGAGAUUGUAUGCUGCAGAAGAAACAUAGAAGUGAAUGUUUCAACACCGGAUGAUAUGAUUCUUUCGGAUUGGGUAUAUAAUUGCUAUGCAGCUGGAGAGUUAGGUAGGCUUGUGGAGGAGGAUGAAAAUGUGGAUUUGAAGACCCUAGAAAGAAUGGUGAAAGUGGGGUUGUGGUGUGUUCAAGAUGAUCCAGCUCUCCGUCCAUUCAUGAAGAACGUCAUCUUGAUGUUGGAAGGGACCAUGGACAUACCAGUCCCUCCAUCUCCAGGACAUCCCCAUCUUGUUUGAACUAUAACGCCAGUUCUACCUUGCCACUUCUGUAUUGUGAUGGAUGUAAGUAAUGUUUGUUUGAAGCAUAAUGGAAUCUGCCUUAGGUUCUUGUAUUACGAUGGCUAUAUGUAAUGUUCGAACUAUAAUGGUUCGUAAAUGAAUAAUGAUAUAGACUAAAUAGUUAAUUAGAUGUUUUGAAAUUGUUCAUUAUUCUAGUUCAUUCUUUAUAAUGCAAGUUAUAUGCAACUUCUAGUUCAAGGGCAUAAACUAUAACUGUAAAAAUCUUAUGAGUACGUACAUCCUCAAGAUCAGAACUGCAAUGGAAGAAAACAAAGAAACGAAUCACACAACUUUAUUCGCUUGACCUACCUAUGUACUAAAUCUAUGCGUCACCAAAUAGGAGAAGACAAGAAAACCUAAGAUUGCUGCUUAACUAACGAUUUCACCUGCAGCAAUCUCAACUACAAAAGAUGGAGAGAGCAUCUAAGUGCAGUCUCCUUUUGGAUCAAGUAAACCUUCCUUCCUUGGAAGUUGAUUUUGCACCCCCCACACCACCACCACAACUUAGAGGAGACUAUUCGGGUCGACCUUGGAGAAGAAAUACAAAUCUAGGGAAAAAAAAAAAAAAAGGACCAGCCCUCCAUCUACACAUGAAUUGACUCGACAAAAGACUUGCAUUUGGUCAACACACACCUUAAUAAUAUAUGUACAAAUCUAAGAGUGCAACCCUGGUUUUUCAUUCUAUCUUGACAAUGGCUUCCACUAGUGUUAUUUGUGUUUGUCUCCUCUGCCUAUGUUGUUUAAGUGAAGGAGCUCAACAGCAGCAUAAUUCCAGCCAAAUAGCCCGGGGCUCUUCACUUUCUCCCAUCACUCACCCAAGCUCAUGGCCUUCUCCUUCAGGCAAAUUUUCAUUCGGCUUUUAUCAGCAAGGAAGUGGCUUUGCGGUCGGAAUUUGGUUGGAGGAUAUCAGUCAGAAAACAGUUGUUUGGACAGCAAACCGGGAUGACCUCCCAGUCGCUUCAAGUUCAGUGCUGCAGCUAACAGAGCAUGGUGAGCUUGUCUUGCUAAAUGAGCGAGGACAGAAGAAACUCAUUGUCUCCAACAGUAUCAAUGAACUUGUGUCCUUUGCCUCCAUGCUUGAUUCUGGCAACUUUGUUUUAUAUAAUGAAAGAUCCGAAGUUAUUUGGGAGAGUUUUGAUUAUCCUACUGAUACUAUCCUGAAUGGUCAAACUCUGCCUGUUGGAGGUCAGCUAUACUCUAGCUUAUCAGAAGCUGAUCACUCUACUGGACGGUUUCAUCUCAAGAUGCAGGGUGAUGGAAAUCUAGUCCUAUACCCGGCAAACACUGAAGACUGGAUCACAGAUGCUUAUUGGAGCUCUAACACGUUCAACAUCGGCAUCAAUUUUCACCUCUAUCUUGAUCCUACAGGUACUCUUGUUAUCACCAAUACUACUACUAUUUGGAAAUAUUCCAACACUUACAGAGUUAUAUAUGAUGGAUCUAAAAAUGGUUACAAAAAUGGUACCAUGUACCGUGCAAUUGUUGGCGUGGAUGGAAAUUUCCGGUUGUAUUCUCAUGGUUCUGAUGAUAACAAUGGAAAGCUCCAACCAUUUGUUUUCAUGUGGUCCGCUAUAGAUAAGCCUUGCCAAGUUAAAGGAUUAUGUGGCCUUAACAGCUAUUGCACACUCGAUGAUGACCAACCAAGCUGUCUUUGUCUUCCUGGAUCAAAUUACGUUAAUAUGGAUCGGAAAAUGCUGGGUUGCUUGAGAAACUAUACAGAAGUAGAGUGUCAAGGAGGGAAAGUAAACAUAUCCAAUUAUCAAAUGAGCACCAUGAACAACAUGAUGUGGGGAGGCACUGAUUAUGCAGAAGAGGAGAUGUUGAAGGAAGAAUGCAGCAGGUCAUGUUUAGAAGACUGUAACUGUGGUGCAGCUCUGUUCCAGGAUGGAUACUGUACAAAGCAAAAUCUACCACUCAAAUAUGUCAGAAGGGAUCUAGACGAGAGUACCAUAGCCUUCUUCAGGGUUGGAAUGAUCACAAGCACCGAAAGCAACAACCAAACUGAUCAAUUUCCCACCACGGUGAAUCCAUUUAUGGAGGUUGAUAGCACAAGCAAGAAACUACUUGUGCAAGUUCUUGUUAUAACCUUAGGUUUCAUCAUAUUCAUAUGUGUUGCUCUCGCAAUUUCUGGAUUCUACAUUUUCAAAAUUCGAGUUCUACACUACAAAAGGCUCACAGAGGUUAAUGGUAAUCUGGGCCUGGCAGAUGAGGAGCUCACGUUGAGAGUUUUUUCAUACAAUGAGCUGAAAAGAGCUACAAAUGGUUUCAAGCAAGAAUUGGGAAAGGGCUCCUUUGGAGCAGUGUAUAAAGGGGCUCUUAACAAAGGCAAAAAACUCAUUGCAGUAAAAAGACUGGAGAAGUUAGUGGAAGAAGGUGAGAGGGAGUUUCGAGCGGAGAUGCAGGCAAUUGGAAGAACUCAUCACAAGAACUUAGUUCGAUUACUGGGUUACUCUGCUGAGGAGUCCAAAAGGCUCCUUGUCUAUGAAUAUAUGAGCAAUGGCUCCCUUGCAGAUCUUCUUUUCAGGGCAGAAUGGCAUCCAGCUUGGGAUGAAAGAGUGAGAAUUGCAGUUGAUGUGGCAAGAGGUCUCCUCUAUCUACAUGAAGAGUGCAAGUCCCCUAUCAUUCAUUGCGACAUAAAGCCUCAAAACAUUCUGUUGGAUGAAUCUUGGAAUGCGAAAAUAGCUGAUUUUGGACUUGCAAAACUGCUGAUGCCGGAUCAAACAAGGACCUUCACAGGGAUAAGAGGGACAAGAGGGUAUUUGGCACCAGAAUGGCAAAAGAACACUCCAAUCUCAGUGAAGGCAGAUAUCUACAGUUUUGGUGUAGUGCUUCUUGAACUAGUUUGUUGCAGGAGGAACUUGGAUGUCAGUGUUAGAGCAGAGGAGAUAGUUCUUUCUACUUGGGUCUAUAAGUGCUUUGUGAGUAGAGCGCUGCAUAAGCUUAUUGUGGGUGGCGAAGAAGUGAACAAGAAGAGCUUGGAGAAUAUGGUUAAGGUGGGAUUAUGGUGCAUACAAGAUGAACCAGCUCUACGGCCAUCAAUGAAGUCUGUAGUGUUGAUGUUACAAGGCAUUACUGAUAGUAUCUAUCCCUCCAUGUCCAACCACUGCUUCUAUGUGAUAAACCACUAGCCGUUGGGGAAAUGUUUCUCUGCUUAUUUGAAGUCUGUUAAAAGAAUAAGCUAGCAGUAUAUAUGCUGUUGGGCACACAGCAUGGUGCUAGUAAAAUAAAAUAAAAUAUCUAAGAGAGUUGUAUGUACUAUAUAGUAUGGUUCGUUUUAUUGAUGCUUGAUUGUAUCGUUGAUCUUAAUAAAUGUGUUGCAAGUCGAAGAGUUAUGUUUGUAUCUCUGGAUUGGCUGGGACAUGUAUGUACAAUGUGCUAUAGAAUAAUUCUGGAUUUUAUGGCACUAUAUGUAAAGGAAUCAAGACAGAUCUAUAGAAAUAGACUGUGCACAUUAUGACUUAUGACAUGCAUUCUGUUAAUACAUAGCCAAAACACUUGGCCAUACCGAGAAUGUGACCACAUCACCCGGUCGCCGGAGAUCAUUCCGGCCAGAACACCACCGGCAAGACCCCCACAAGCCUCCACAGAACGGAGGCAUAACAACAAAACACAUGCUAGAUUCGCUCAAGAACUACUAAACACCCCUAAAAAGGGAGAGGCUGAACUGCAUUAUGAAAGCAGUCCCACAUCGAAAACCAACGACAGAACCCCCAAUAUUAGCCUAUAAAACAGGCACGAAUUCCCAAAAGAGGUAAGUUCACUAUUCCUCACAUACUCCCGUAUUAUACAAGUAGCAACCAAACGCUCACUUAAGCAUCAGAGAGUCGAAGACUGGGCCACCCCAGUCCUGACUCUUGAUGCAUUGUUGCUUGUGCAGUUACAGGAUCAGGAGCGAAAAGAUUCUACCUCUCGUCCCGUGAUCUCGGAAGAGGUAGAAACAAUUGGCGCUAGAAGGAGAGCCCUCUUGUGGAACUCCCACUUAACCUGAAGGAUGGUGGAAAUUGUGGAUGACCUAAAUGAACCCGGGACUCAGAUAGAAAAAGAACUAUUCCAGUCUGGCGACACAUCCCUUAAUCAAGCUGCCGUAAUCACAGCCCCCAUUAGCCACCCCGAUGCUGCCACAGCCCUGAAAUUUUAAAAAAGACUUCCACGCGUUCCGAGAGCAAGCGGCUAAGGAUAAAGCGGAAGCUGAAGCGUACCGAGUACGUAUCGCCGAAUUGGAAAAGGAACAAUUCCUACUCCGUGCCACUCUGGAUCACCGCAACAAAUACAAUGAGACUCUAAACCGGGCAGCAAGAGUCACUCCCACCCCAAACCCCACCCUGACAUCUCUUUUUCCUAGCCAAGGACAAAAUAGUUAUGUGAUCCCGAGCGGCCCCAACCAGAUUAUUUAUGUCACCCAUUAACUCACCUACUCAUCCUUUCCACUCCCAGCCCCUCAGCCAUUUACAAUCAUUAACAACUCCAUUCCCCUGAUAAACCAGCCCGAGCCAUCUGCUCCACCCGUCCCUAAUCCCAACUCUGCUGACACUGCAAUCCCACCCCUCGACAUGCAAACCCGACUCCUCCUCCAACUCAGCAAUUAUGUCACUCGGUUGGCCUUGAGAAUUGAAGGUGUUGAGAGUCGCGGGAGCCAACGACCUCUAUUCUUGGGAUAUGGACAUCGCCCAAGUCCCUUCACGCCACGAGUCCAAUUGGAUAAGAGACCACCCGAGGCCAAACCCUUCAAAUUGGACAAAUAUAAAGGCACCGGGGACCCUCACCUUCACCUUGAAACAUUCCUUUCGUUAUGUAGCUCCACUCGGUACACAGACGCUGCGGCCUGCCACACCUUCCAAGAAAUCCUUUCAGACGAAGCACUUAGUUGGUUCCUCAACUUACCUCCAAAUUCCAUUGACAAUUUUGACCAGCUCUUGGAACGGUUCCUCAACCGUUUCAUACUUCAUGCCAGCAUCUAUCGCAGUGUGGACGCCUUGUUCCACAUCAAGCAAAAAGAAGGUGAAGGACUCCAUGAGUUAUUGUCCCGAUGGCAAUCAACCACAGCACGUUGUCACAACCUGGAGCCCCGAGUCGUUGAACAAGCUUUGCUUCCCGGCAGCUUCUUAAUGGAGAUUAACAGGAACCCGCCAGGGUCAUACGAUGCCUUGAUGGACCUUGCUGUCCGAUGGGCACGUGCCGAGUUUGCCAUAUUUGGACAUUCCAAUCCCACUACAACAGUAGCACUUCCUGCCCCACCCCUCAAGCAGCAAUCCCAGCAGAAGUAUGACCAUUAUGAUAGAGGGCAGGACAAGGGCAAGUAGCAUGGCAGCUCCCAUGAUAACCCCUAGGGCGUGGUUCAGACCGUCGCCACAGUGGGCAGCGGGGACAAGACCAUCCUUAUCAGUCCCGAGAGCAAAGCCUCUAGCAACAGCAACGUCGCCCCUCUCCGCCACCUCGUUAUGAGGUUCACACAGCCCUCACCACUACAUAUGAGGAUAUAUGGGCCAAGCACAAAGAUCUCAUUCCCUCGCCACCUAAGAGCAAGUAUCCAAAAAAACCCUGGCGCGCAACAGGGAAUAAAUAUUGUGCUUAUCAUGAUGACAACGGCCACACUACUGAGAUGUGCCACGGCCUCUGCAACGUAAUUGAGCACUUGAUCCGUAAUGGCCAACUCCACCAGUAUUGCACUCCUACAACGGGAGCUAAUGCCAUCGAGGUUCAUGGCCAGAUCCUAACCGUACAUGGUGGAGCCUCACGAUUCCCCCCUCGACAGCCUUCUGCCAAAAGGCAAUGUACGAACCAUUUGGAGAUUCUUGAAAUACAAAGAGGUGUCACCACCACCCCAUCAACAUGGGACCAAGUGUCAUUUUACAAGAGGAAAUAUACGAUCAAUUGCCAUCACAACAAACCCUUCAUAAUCAAUGUCCAGGUGGAUCACUACAGGUGUCACAGGGCCCUUGUGGACAUAGGAGCUGCGGUCAGUGUGAUGUUUGCCGAUUGCUAUAGAGGACUCAGGCGUGACCGGGCUAAGUUAUUUAACAACCAUGUGAUCCCCUUGUAAGCUUCUCCGGAGAGAUUGUGCAGCCCUUAGUCUCAGACCGCUUGUCGGUUUCAGUAGGGACCAGUCCCUGCCGUGUUUCCAUCACGGCACGUUUUCUCAUAGUUGAUUGCCCCUCAUCCUACAACCUCAUCUUAGGUCGCGGCAUCCUCUGGGGACUACAAUGCUUCAUUGCAGGCCACAUGCUACUCAUGAAGGUGCCCACCCCGAGAGGUAUACACACAAUCCAAGAGGAUAGAACCGCCAUAGAACAUUGUCACCUUAAUGCCAUCCAGCAGGGGCGCGGUGCCUAUGAGAUGUUGCCACUCAGCCCCUCGGAAUCCAUUGAUGAUCCCAGGGAUGACCUUGAAGGGAAAGACAAGAAGAAGCAAGCCCCGAGACCUAACCCGGCAGAGGACACAGAGUGGGUAUCCCUGUCACCCAGUGCUCCCGAAAGGAAAGUCCGCAUUGCCACGAACCUUGACCGGGAACUACACCAAAAGCUCAUUACCUUCCUCCAGGAUAAACAAACAGUCUUUGUUUGGUCCUAUGCUGACAUGCCCGACAUUUUCCCUGAUGUCAUCACACACAAACUUAACAUCCUCAAAGACUAUCCCCCUGUCAAGCAAAAAAGACGUGCCUUUAACCUGGAGAAAUAUCGUGCUAUCCAAGCCAAGGUCCAGCGACUAAAAGAAAUUAAGUUCAUACGUGAGAUCUCAUACCCAACAUGGGUUUCUAAUGUGGUCAUGGUCCCCAAGCCUAAUGGCAAGUGGCGAAUGUGUGUUGAUUACACUAACCUUAACAAGGCAUGCCCCAUGGAUAGCUUCCCCUUGCCACGGAUUGACCAGUUGGUUGAUUCCACAGUCGGCUUCAAGAUGCUCAGCUUUCUAGAUGCCUACUCGGGAUAUAACCAAAUCAAAAUGCACCCCACAGAUCAAGAACACACCACUUUUGUCACGGACAAGGGACUGUACUGUUACGAGGUCAUGCCUUUUGGCCUUAAGAAUGCAGGAGCAACCUAUCAGAGGCUAGUCAAUGCCAUGUCUGAAGAGGAAAUUGGGGAAGUCAUGGAAGUCUACGUGGAUGACAUGCUGGUCAAAAGAAAGACAGAUGAAGACCGCAUUGCCAACCUAGACAAAGUCUUCACUAAGCUCUAACACGCGGGAUGCGCCUCAACCCACAAAAGUGUAUUUUGGCUGUUGGUGGAGGAAAGUUUUUGGGUUUCAUGGUCAGUGAAAGAGACAUUGAAGCUAACCCAGAAAAAAUACAAGCCAUACUUGACAUGACGGUCCCGAGGACCCUGAACGAGGUCUAGUGCCUCACGGGACGCUUGGUAGCCUUGGCUCGUUUCAUCUCCCGCCUCACAGACAAAUGCAACCCAUUGUUUCAACUGCUAAAAACUCAAUACAAGGAGAAUGUGGCAUGGGGCCCUGAACACGACGAUGCCUUCAACAAUAUCAAGGCCUACCUUGUAGUAGUCCCUCUUCUCUCCAAGCAUGUCCAGGGAGAAGUACUUUACUUGUAUUUGGCUGUUUCCGCCACGACCAUCAACGCUGCUCUCACACGCCAUGAACAUGACAAUCAACUCCCUGUAUAUUACUGUGGCAGAGGGUUCACGGAUCCCGAGACCCGCUACCCUGACAUUGAGAAACUAGCCCUAGCCCUCAUCACUGUAGCAAGAAAACUCAGACAAUACUUCCAAGCUCACACCAACCAUGUCCUAACCAAUCACCCUUUGCGGCAAAUACUCCAAAAGCCUGAAACGUCAGGGAGCAUGGUAAAAUGGGCAAUUGAAUUGGGGGAAUUUGACCUACAUUUCAAACCAAGAACAGCCAUAAAAGGGUAGGCCGCUGCGGAUUUCAUUGCCGAGUUCAUCCCCCUGGACCCAGGCAAUCCAAACCUAGAAGCCCUCCCCCGGGACGCCAUAUGGGAACUUCAUGUUGAUGGAUCCUCCAACAACAGGCUCAGUGGAGCAGGGAUAAUAAUCACAGACCUAGAGGGGAAUUCGUAUGAGUAUGCUCUCCGGUUUGAAUUCAAAGCAUCCAACAACAUAGCUGAAUACAAGGUUCUCAUAGCCGGCAUUCAACUCUGUCGAGAACUCGGUGCCCUGCAUAUCCACAUAUUCAGUGAUUCUCAGCUUGUGGUCAAUCAAGUGGCAGGAGACUUCAAGGCCAACCAGAAUAACAUGGGAUCCUACAAAAGUCUAGCUGGCGCCCUCUUGCAACACUUCACAUCUUACAAACUCACACAAAUCCCAAGGGCCAAAAACUCCAAGGCAGAUGCUCUCGCGAGACUCACCACAACCCUUCCCGAGUCAACGCCACCAGAUGUGCACAUAGAAAUCUUGGACAAACCUAGUAUCUCGAAGGCUUAUUCAGAAAUCUUUGUUCUCGAAGCGCCUAGCCAGCCCUCGUGGAUGGACCCAUUUGUGGCCUUCAUUUCUAAUGGUACCUUGCCCGGAGACAAACAAGAGGCACAACGGUUGCGCCACAAAGCUUCACUCUACCUGCUUAGAGGCGGAAAGCUAUACCGCCGUGGUCAGUCGUGUUCGUUUUUGAAAUGCUUACCUACAGAAGAAGGGCACAAAGUGUUGAAAUCACUCCAUAGUGGUGUCUGUGGAAACCAUGCGGGAGCUCGGAACCUCAUGUUCAAAGCACUAAAAGCUGGAUACUCUUGGCCAACCUUAGAACAAGAUGCAAAGGCAGUUGUCCAAGCAUGCAUUCAAUGCCACAAAUUUGCAAAUUUUGCCCACCAUCCUCCAGUUCCGCUAUCUAUCAUCAUUUCCCUAGUCUCUUUCAGUCAGUGGGGACUCGACUUCGUGGGACGGUUACCCAUAGCCUCGGGACAACUCAAAUUUGCAAUUGUCAUUGUGGACUAUAACACGAAGUGGAUAGAGGCAGAACCCCUUGCCACGAUCACAACUUAAAAGGUGAUAAACUUCCUAUGGCACAAUUUAUACUGCCGGUUUGGGGUACCGCAAGCCAUCAUCACAGAUAAUGGGACACAAUUUGACAAUGACACAUUCAGAGAAUUCCUUUCUGAGCAAGGCACUGCAAUCUUCUAUGCCUCCCCAACACACCCUCAGACCAAUGGCCAAGUGGAAGCCAUAAACAAACUCAUCAAGCAAAACCUGAAGAAACGCCUGGAAGAUGCUAAAGGGUUAUGGGCUACCAAGCUCCCGGAAGUCCUUUGGACACUUCGUACCACCCCAACAACAGCUACAAGUGAAUCCCCAUACCUCUUGUCCUAUGGCGGUGAUCCCUAUGGAAAAGGAGGUCCCAAGUGAACGUGUCACAGCAUACGAUCACGAGACAAACGCCACGGGACUACGACUCAACAUGGAUCUCCUCGAGGAACGCCGGGACAGAGCACAUUCAAGGAAUGCCAACAACAAACAAAAGAUUGCCCGACACUACAACAAGAAAGUUGUUUCUCGCCCUCUAAAGGUAGGUGACUGGGUCAUGAAAGAGGUCAUUCCCCACCCCACUAGACUCAAGGCAAAGCAGGAAGGCCCAUUGGAGAUAGUUAAUGCCCCGAGACCAGCUACAUUCUAUCUCCGCAAUACUGUUGGUCGAGUCCUACCUCGCCCCUGGAAUGCUCGCCACCUCCACCUCUACCUUGUUUAAAUUAUCAGCACUCCAAAGCCAACAUGGCAGCUAGCACUUCAUUACUUUGUGUACUUUAGCUCGGUAGCGGCCUAAAUCAAAUGUACACCUUGCCCAUUAGCAGCCCAUCCUAAAUGAAGAUGCUAUGUGUUCUCUUAUCUUUUUAAACAUACCGUCCCAAGAACACAGAACAAAAUAACAAUAAGAGAUGAACCAUAAAAAACGGCAUUCUUUAAAGUAAACAAGUAUCAACCUAGACUCCCAGGCAAUCCAUUUAUAACAACUUGUUCAAAUGGUUAACCACACCACCAAUAUUGUUUCCAAAGCAAACAAGAAACUAAAACCUAACAGAAACAGCAAAAAAUUACAAACUAAAAACAAUUAUUCUCCCCAGAAGACGCCCCACUUGACUUGUUCACGCUCCCGCCACUCUUCGACCCGCUACCACGUCCACGGCUCUAGCUGAUGUUCACCAACACCCUCUGACCAUAAACAUGUUUAGAGCGGUCACGUGCAACAGGUGGAGGCCUCAUUGACACAUUAGGACGCACCAGGGAGCUCACCUGUUGCACUUCCAUGACAGGUGACUUGGUCGCUAGGAUCUUUUGCACUUCAGUCCGUGGAGGCGCCACAAGCCCAGGGACUCAAGGAUUAGGAGGUUUAACAGCAGACGACGUAACCUGAGACACUGCCACUUGAGCGGAAGGGGAUCCCUCGGGACGUGGAGCCCUUAGGGGAGAAAAAGCAACCAUAGCAAGCGGCGAGGUGUGCCCACAACAAGAGCUUCUUUUGGCACAGCAGAGGAGGUGGCACGCCAGGUCUAAUGCUGUUUUGCCAGCGACCGCGAGAUCUCGGCUUGCUUCCUCUGUUCCAGGGUCAUCUGCUCCCAAGCCUUCCUCGCUGCAUCCCUCUCGGCAUAAAACUUACGCAUAGCAGCCUCGUUAAUCCAGCCAGCUUGGCACCCAGUCUUGCUCAGCUCAUCCUGUCCCCGGUUAUAAGCACUCUUCAGCUACUGCUUAUUGUCGCUCUCCCGGAACACCCUCUACCCAGCCCCAGCAGCCCUAGUACACUUCAACUUCCACACCCUCUCCUGCUCCGCCAAGGCACGGUUCAAUCUUGCCACCUCAGCCUCCAGAGAAACAACCUUGGCAGCAGCCACCUCCCCGGCUUCCACCUGCUUGUCCUUCUCUUGCAUAGCUUCCUUCAACUCAGCCACUUCCUUCCCAGAUGCAGCAGCCUGGUCUCGGAAGACAGCCACAUCCUGCUCCAGCUGCUCUAGAUGCUGUGAGAGAGCGCGAUUAUUCUCUUCUGCCUCCCUUAGCUGUUGGCAUUUAGCCUCAGCAUCACCCUGCAAAUGGGUAACCGCCCUCUCACUAGCAGCGUACAUAAGCAGCGUCGCCUGCAAAUACGAACCAAAACAUAAGUAUAAAAAUAAAAUAAAAAAAAGGCAAAUUGCACACCAUGUACACUUACCCGAGUCAACUUCUCGACGAGAGAGACACGCCAACCAAGGGAUCAACCUCCUCCAAGGCAUUGAUGUCGCGAGACCGGUGACGCAUGUCGUAUGCCAUUUGUGCCAAGUAAGGCUGCACCUCCCCUGUCCCCUCCAAUGCCUAGGUGAUCUCAGCUAAGCUCCCGGAACUCCCGGAACGCCCUUCCUUUCGGGAUCUUUUUGUUUGACCCUCACGUGACGACUCAACCCUCUCUUUCCUCUUCCGGGUCUUCGUCACGACAACCUGCUCGGAUUCCUGCCCAAGGGGAUCCACCUCCUUUGCCACAAGGUUCUCGCCACCAGUUUGGGGCUUGCCUACGUCUUCCAAAGAUGCAUCUCCCACCCCAACUGGCUCAGGGAUGUGCUCUUCCUCCAUUGGAACCUACUCAUGGUUGUCCCCGUGGUCGCCAUCCUCAGUCUCUGUUUCCUCGUCGUUCACCUCUUGGUCACCCAAGCCCAUUACUUCUACCACCAAGGGAGGCACAUAAGCAUAGUCCUCGUCCUCCAGGUUUAACCUCACAAAGUCAUCCUCACCCUCGCCAAACUCCACCUCCUUCCCUUCACCUGUCUCCAGGUCGAUGUCGAACCGCUUGGCAUGAGCAGCCUCAGUAAGCAACCCAUCCAGCACAUCCUGGUCAGAGACCUUGUCAUAAGGCCCUUCCUUCUUCUGCGACCCACUGUCCCGAGGCAUCGUCACUGCACCAGACAAAGUAAGGGUCAAAACACAGACAAAAAGCGUAAAUCUAUGAAACCACUCAAAGAAAAAUACAUACCUGGGACCCGGGCAUAACUGAAAUAACUAUAUAUGCCAAGGCGGCAUAUCCGGUAUGAGCUCCUACACUCGAAUGCCACAACACCAUCAGCUCGGUUACUUCAUAUUCUUGGGGCACUACACAAAGUCAGCAGUUAGCACAUAUCCGGUAUGAACUCCUACACCCGAAUGCCACAACACCAUCAGCUCGGUUAAUUCAUAUUCUUGGGGCACUACACAAAGUUAGCAGUUAGCAGGGGCAGAACAACCCAAAUAGUAAGAAAACACGAAGACACAAAAUACGAUACCUAUUUUUUAGAAAGCCCCAGGAGCCCGGAAGGGAUAUCUAUGCCACUCCUGCCACUGACCCUCGACGAGGAAACACUUCCGUCGCCAACUCUCGUUCGUAUAGGUGGGCAAGUCUUCCACCAAGAUCUUGAACUUUCCUCGGGACUUCAAGGUCACGCAACCCCUGCUGCCCUUCUUCGCACAGUACGUCAUUUGCCAACAUACGUUGAACUCUUCACAAUUAGGGAACUCUUGCCCCAGCAAACAAAAUAGUACCUCUGUUCCUAGUAUCUGCCGCAACAUGUUCGGGGUAACCUGCCCCAGGGUGACAUACAGACAUGCUAAAGUGUACUGCACAAAAGGGGGGCAGCGGGAACAUCAACCCUCAUCUUAAUUGGUACUCGUAUACCAGGGUGAAGUUGUCUGGAGGAUCCCAAAAAUUAACACCCUUGCCAAGAGGCCGCAACAAGACCUCAUUGAGAAUACUCCAAUUUUGCCUAAGAGCUUUUAACUCUGACGACGUCAUACUCUCGCCAGGAGGAUCCCAGAACGAGUUGUCAUCCUCCCGAGAUCUUACCAUGCUAAACUCUUCUACCUCCUGCAAUCGAGGGUCAGACGAGGACACGUGAGACCCAGCAUCCGUAACGGGAAUGCCCUCCCCUAAGUCAAGUGCAACUUCCGCCAUAAGAUAAUUCACUUCUUCCUCCCACCGGUGCAAGGUGUCCGAAUCAGGAUCAGUCGAGCUAGAGACAACCACAAUCUCCUCGCUGGACACCCACACCGGAUCUGUCAUACCCUACAUCCUCACAAGUUAGACUCUCGCUACCUUAACCCUAACUAACCCGAUAGUUAACCGACCAAUCCCUUACUCUAGACUCUCCUAACAAAAUCACAACUGAUAUGAGAACCACAGCACAAUCCCUACCGAUUCGAAAUAAGGUAAAAGCAUAACCCAUAAUAGGAAAUUGACAAGUUCAUACCUCGGAAAAUUGGAUUUGUGUAGUGGCAGUGCAGCUGGUUGCAAACAGUCGAGCGCUCGCACCCAAUCGAUCGAGGAUGAAAUUGGAUGUUCCCCAGGUUCGAUUCACAGUUCGUCAAAGCCUCUCUUCAAAAAACCGAACCCACUAUUCAACCCUAAUCUCUUUGUUUUCAAAAUGCAAACUCCCUCCUCUGUUUCCACAGGUCUAUUUAUAGACAUCCCAGCCAACCACGACCGUCCAGAUCCUGCCAAUCUUAAUGGUCAGGGAACAACCACGUCGAUCACAAUCAUGCGAGCCAUUUAAGACGCGCCCCACGAUCCCAAGAUUCCACGAUCCCACGAAAGCGCGUUAGUUACGUGCCAGUUACAAAAAAAAAAAAAAAAAAAAACAACAACAACAACAACAGAACCAUUACGUCCUUAAAACUCGCCAUAAAUGACCACGUGUUCCUCAUAAACCGGCCAUUUAUGACACAUGAGAUAUGACGCAAAGGUUCGUACCAAAUACUCGGAACUCAACCCCAGCCACCUUGCGACCCUCGCGUGGGGACUUGGGGACUCGACACCAUGCCUCCAACUCUCGGGUAAAACACAUUCUCGACACAACUUGAGAAUAACUCCCCACCCAAGAGCUCUCUCGAACUAGGGACUUGGGGAGUUAUUAAUACAUAGCCAAAACACUUGGUCAUAUCGAGAAUGUGACAACAUAACCCGGUCGCCGGAGAUCAUUCCGGCCAGAACACCACCGGCAAGACCUCCACAAGCCUCCACAGAACGGAGGCAUAACAAAACACAUGCCAGAUUCGCUCAGCAACUACUAAGCACCCCUAAAAGGGGAGAGGGUGAACAACAUUGUGAAAGCAAUCCCACAUCGAAAACCAAGGACAGAACCCCCAAUAUUAGCCUAUAAACCAGGCACGAAUUCCUAAAAGAGGUAAGUUCACUAUUCCUCCCAUACUCCCGUACUAAACAAGUAGCAACCAAACGCUGACUUAAACAUCGGAGAGUCGAAGACUGGGCCACCCCAGUCCCGACUCCUGACGCAUUGUUGCUUGUGUAGUUAUAGGACCAGGAGCGAAAAGAUUCUACCUCCCGUCCCGUGAUCUCGGAAGAGGUAGAAACACAUUCAUAGUUAUCCAUGAUGCAAACUUCGUGGUUUAUCAGAAAUUCAAGGGUUAUAACUUAUAAUAAAAUACUGAUUAUAAAUGGACUGCUUUGAUAACUAGAAACCAAGUAUAAUCUUCUUGUGAGUAGUUCUUGUUUUUUUUUUUUUUUUUUUUUUUUCUUUAUUCAUUUUUCAAAUAAAAUCUUCUUGUGUUACUAAAAUUUUCAGCUUUAUUUAUUUCUGAAUUAGAAAGAUGAUGAAAUAUGGUCCCUCUUAAAGAAUAUAGUAAUACCAAUGCACCUAGGAGUAAAAAGAGCACUAUAUGACCAAGUCAGUAAAUCUUAAUAGACCAGAGAGGUAGAGGAGACCUAUCAGGCUCAUAGGACAUAAGUGACUAAAUCAGCAAACUUAUUGGUAACGUCUACCCCACCAUGAUGUGUGCUGGCCUGGACUCGUAAGUCUUCCUCUAGAAUUGGCAUUCUCACUCAGAAUGGAAAUUGCAGAAGUCAUUUCAAUAAACUGAUAGGUUGUCCUAUAUGUCACCAACUUGCUAUUGGCCUACUCUUAUUUGCCUCAAGAUGCAAGUCCCAAAUCAAAUCCCUACCACAACUAAAAAAAGGAAAGAUGUUCUUUCAUUAUGUUCUCAAGCCAUUCGAAUCAAAUGAAAAGCAAGAAAAAUAUGAAAGUACCACAUAUGAGAGAACCAUUUACUUUUCUAUAUAGGCAGAUUUCUCAGCUGUAACUAAAAUAACUCUUACCUGAAGAGCUGCGGGUGCCAUGCCUAAUGACGAUCAACAAGCCGAUCAGCAUAAUCGCCUGGAAUUGUUUUCUCUGGAAUUCACCUUAAGAGGUAAGGACAUGAAUUUAGACUGCAUCAUCUUCAGCCUCACUGAGUGAUCUAGCUAGUCCAAACAAAACACAAGAAUUUAGCCGUUUAAAAGGAAAUUCACAUAUAGUGUCAGACAAC